rnacentral:lncRNA from 1 species
GGGGUCGAUGGGUGAUCAAGAAGGCCCAUGGCCUAGAUCAGUGACCUCCAUUGCACUUUGGAGGGGUCCUGGUCUAAGGUCUCCCCAAGAGGGAGAGCCUACGUCAUAAUUUGUGGCAGCGGGGGCCUGCGUACGCGCGGCCCCUUCCUAAUUGAUGUUUAAAGAGUUUUAGCGGCCUUAAUAUGAAUUCAUGGCCUUGCAUUCUUGAUCGGAAGUUAAAAUAUGUUCUGCUCAAAUGUUAUUUUCCUUUAUGGUUCUAAGGCUUUAUACACGAGACCACAAGUCUUUGUAAAUAAUUUUUAAGCUCGGUAAAUGCAUACAAAUUAUUGGUCGCUGAUUCUAAAUUAAUGUAAAUGAUUAUUUUUUUCAUAAUAUUUAUAAUUGUUUGAAGGAUUUUUAUUAAUGACUAGCGAAGGAUAAAAAAUGGUAAAAUAAUUUUUAUUGACUAAAUUUUCAAAUAAAAUAGGACAGAAAGAGUAUAUAAAAUGAUUUCUAUAGUUAAUUUAAAUAUGAAAAUUUACUUUUCAAUAAAAUUUUAUGUAGAAGUAGAAUAAAAGUAUUUUCUAUUUUGUGUAGAAAUAAAAUAAAAUCUGUAUUAUAUUCCAAAAAACAUUAAGUUGUUUUUUUAGAGAGAUUUUUCUUUCUACCGGAAAUUACUAAAUUAGCAUUAUACAAAAGUACAGCGUGAUUGAUUAGAAUAUUCCACCCACAAAAACAUUCAUUAUCUAUCUAAGCUUUGCUUUUAGGAUUAUAUCACCGUCUCAAGCCUUUGCGAGACAUUAUCAUUAUUAAUGGAAAGUUAAAUAGCAGUAUAACAGAAAGAGAUCCGUUAGCUUGUCCCACAUCGGACAGAGGUAAAAGAUAUAGCAAGCGUAAAUGCAGAUAGCAAGUGCGAGUUAAGCUUGCACAGAGUUGGAAGAGCCUGUAUUUUACUAUCUUCGUUCCAUAAUAUUUGUCAUUUGAAAUAUUUCAUAAUAUUUGUUACAUUUAAAAAUUUAAAAUAUUUCGUAAUAUUUGUCACAUUUGAAAUUUAACGUUCCUUAAAAAAAUUAUUAAAAUUUGUUUAAAUUAUAAUAAAUUAUUAAAUAAAUUGACUAUAUUACACUUAAUUUAAUACUAAUUCUCUAAAAAAAUCAUUAAAUUGAAAUAAUAAUUAUUGGUCAUAUAUAAAGAGUAAAUAUUGAAAAAAACAUUUAUUACUCCUUAAAACCAUAAAUGUAACAAAUAUUUUGAAACAAGUUAUUUUCUCGAAUGUGACAAGUAUUAUGAAACGAAAGUAGUAAUAUUUAGUAAUGGGAACAUUAAAGGACUCUUAUCCAUUCAAUACAGACAUAUUUUAGUACCUACUAAUGCUCUUUGAACCAUAACAUUCCUGAAAAAGAAAUGUAAUAUAAGAGUGAGUGUAGAGAAUGUCACAACACAAAUAUACCUCUAUAGACUGACAUUUUUCCCUCCCUUCAGAAGGUGCUGCAUAUACACGUAUAUUACAGUUUCAAAUCCCCUUUGACACCCAGCUAUACAAAAAAGGAAAAAAAGAAAAAAAAAAAAGCUGCUAUGGUCUUUGGGUUGCAGCAGCAUGCAUCCCUUACAUACACAAACCUGCACCUAUAUGCUUUUGUUUUUUUCCUAUUCUUUUCUCGUUUCCUUCUUAAAAUUUCAUACACUAGCCUUGACCCGAGGCAAAAUUAACAAGAAUGUCUCCUUAUUCACAGUUGAGUCAUUGAGACAUUUCAAGGUGUAGAAUUUACUGAUAUCUCCUGUUGCAGAGGUGAGCUUGGUUGAUCCAGAUGUGACGGGAUGGCAAGCCGCUGCAAGGGUUUGAGAGCUACUGCGAGCUGUGCAAAGGAAGGCCGCAAGUUUGGAUCACUGAGCGAUAAUAUCCCAGUAACGCAAUCAGUAACACGAAUUCAUACAUUAUGUAUAUUAGUAACAGAAGAGUAUUAUGAGUUUGUCUAAAAUUUGCUUUUUAACUUACGUCUGCCAACAUUCCCAAAUUAUCCUUGCAACCAAGGGAUCAACAUCCUUAGGGAUUUCAAGGCGACGGUUCUGGAAACCAACAGCUCCAACAACUUGCAUUGGGUUCAUCCCACUCCAUGGCAAUCGUAGUGUUGCAAGCUCCCAGAGAAUGACUCCAAAACUAUAUACAUCACACCUGUUCAUUCAAAAAAGCAUGUUCAAUUUGGUAUAGUGAUCCACAAUGCUUAUGAAAUCAAUCAAGGUUUCUCCUAGGCAAUAGCCACAGAAAAACACAUUUCGAAUGCAUCACUUUUAAACUCACAAGUCACUGUAAUGCUAAUUUCAUUAUGAUUUUCAUAAGCUUCUAAGAACAUUAACAUCAAAGGACCACUUAAAUCCCUUGUCUCCAUGAAUUUGAAGAAUAGAAUUCAUUUACAAAGGAUUGAAUUCAAUUUAGUCGUAGUUUUUUAGAAGUGAAAUAAAAAUUUUCAUUCAUACUAAACAUGAAGCAUGAAAUUUUAUAAGAUUUGUAUAAAAUUUUGUGGAAUUCAUUUAUAUACCAGUAAAUGUUUUAGAGGCACUGUACACAUUAAAUUCUGGAACAUUGGGCCUUACUGCUCAGCCAAGAAUAGAUUCUAAAUAAUUUGGUUUUGUGUAACCGACUCCUAUAGAAUAAACACAUAAGAUUCAUACUCCAUCUGGCUGCUUGCCAGGUAGAAUUUCAAAGUGAUUUGUACUUUUAACCCUGAUCAAAUAUGCUUAAAGGAGUAAUAAAAAAUGUCAGUUUCAACUUCAAGAAGCUUGUGCAAGUGCAACAGCAUAAUAACUGAAAAGCAAAAAUGUAACAUCAGCAGCUCACUUCUCAUUUGAGGGUUCAUUGCGAAGAACUUCCGGUGCCAUCCACUCAGGCUUAACCCAGCAAAGACAAUUCAAUCAGGGAAAAAGCAUGACGGUAAGAUCAAGACAUGAACUGCAAUCCAAUUAUAAUUAAAGAUAGGGCGAAUUACUAUUUAUUCCUAUAGUUUAGUAAAAUCCACAAGUCAGGACCUUUUUUAUUCCAAAAAUCAAUUAAAUAGUCCCUCUCUUUUGUUGAUAUUCAACUACAUAUAUUCUGUUAAUUUUUCCAUUAAACUGUGAUGAAAUAUCAAUUUUCCAUAAAAAAUGGUUUCUUUCUCUCAUGGGCAACGUUGGAAAAAAAUAUUUUAUUUGACUUCUUUGAUUUGACCAACCAAAAAAACAACAAAAUUUCAAACAAAGAACUAUUUAGUUGAAUAACAACAAAAUAGAGGACUAUUUAAUUGAUUUUUGGAAGCAGAGGUCCCAAUUGUAAAUUAUACCCAACUACAGGGACUAAAUAGUAAUUUACCCUUCACAAUAUAUGUAAAAGAUAAUAAUGGAUUCUCACUGUUCCUGCAGUUGAUUUGGAUGACAAAAAGGUGUUAUGCUUCAAGCGCGACAACCCAAAAUCACAAACCUGCAAAGUAAAACAUUAUAAUCUGUUAAAAGAGGCCCAUAACACAAACAUCCCUGCUGGUGCUAUUUCUCCGGUUCCAAACCAAACAAGCCAAGCCAGUGUCUCAGCUUGAUUAACAAAAAUUAGUAGGUCUAAUACAGUUACAAUAAACAUCAUAAAAUUUGAAAUAAAGAGCUUUGUACAGAAUGUUGUCUGUUGCAUUAAAGUGCAGACCAUCCUUCAAACAAGUUUGGCAUAACAAAUGCAAAGAUCUUACAGUUGCCAUCUUAAAACAUUAUAAUAUCUAAUCUAAAAGUCACAAGGACCUGGAACAAGCACUAGUUGUAAGCCUGAGACAAACAGUUCAUAUUGUUUCAGACAUCAGUGAAUCUCUCUCCAGAUUAACAUACACACACACACAUACAAUUUCUGCAACACCAAUUUUGUGAGGAUGCCUGAAAGCAACAUAAUUGAAUAAAAAAAGAUGAUAAUUUAGAUUCCAAUUAAUUAACAAAGCAACAGCAACAUGUACCUUGACAGUCCAGUUUUUAUCAACCAAAAGAUUUGGUGACUUCAAAUCCCGGUGAACAAUUGUUGGUAUACUGGUAUGCAAGCAGUUCAUACCUCUUGCCUGCAACAUGAAGAAAGAUCUGUAUCCAACUCAAAGGUAUUGAAUGCAGACAAGAAAUAGGAAAAGAGUUUGAAUAUCUCAUACCACGUCAAGAGCCAUCUUUAUCCUUCGCUUCUCAUCAAUUUGACAAUGAGAACGAUGAAGAAUCCGGUAUAAACUCCCUCUAGCAAGCCAAAUAUCAUUCACACUUAAUAGGAUGAAUAAAUAAGUAACUAUGGUAUAAGCAUGAAACACAUGCUACCAAAACCAUAAAGCUAAUAGCAAUUUCUGUUGAUUUGGCAUAAGAUGUAACUUAUUCGAAAGGCAUGGUGACAAAAUGAAAGCACAAAAAAUUGUACCUUGGAAGAAACUCUGUAAUGAUAGAGAGGUUUGGAGGUCGUGUAACAGCACCCAUGAAGAGCACAACAUUUGGAUGGCGCAAUCUCCGCAUUAUUCGCACCUUACACCAAAUGGUAAAUAUCAAAAUUCCAGAGUCAGUAAUUUUGAACUCGAAAAAAAUUAAGAACCAUGAUAUCUGAGACACAUCCAUUAAGCUAUGUACACAUGAUGGAGGAAAACAAUUACCCAGAUCAAAGAACAGUUUGUUUAUGAAAUAUAAAGGGAAAGGACAUUCAGAAGUUCGACUCAACAAGCUUCUGCGUUUCAAAUGUCAUGCCCAUGUUCUAGUCUAGUGUACUUAUCCAACAAGAGUAGCAUAAAGUAGAUGAAGAGUUGAAGUAACCAUUUGGUUUUGGAUUAACAUCAUGGAAGGAAAUUACGGGAAAUGGUGGUGAUAUUACGUAAAACUUAGUGCACUUAUCCAACAAAAGUAGCAUGCAGUAGAUGAAGAGUGCCUAUGUUCUAGUCUAGUGUACUUAUCCAACAAGAGUGGCAGAAAGUAGAUGAAGAGUUGAAGUAAUCAUUUGGUUUUGGAUUAACAUCAUGGAAAUGAUGGUGAUAUUACGUAAAACUUAGUGCAUUUAUCCAACAAAGUAGCAUGCAGUAGAUGAAGAGUUGAAGGAAAGGAACCAUUUCUUUUGGAUUAGCGUCAUGAAAGGAAGGUAUGGGAAAUGAAGGUGAUAUUAAGUAAAACUAAUAUUUAUAUAUUAAAAGAUUAUAAAUGAUAGAAAUACCAAAAAAAAAAAAAAAAAAAAAAAAAAAAAAAAAAAAACUUUUUAGGCAAAUUUUUUNNNNNNNNNNNNNNNNNNNNNNNNNNNNNNNNNNNNNNNNNNNNNNNNNNNNNNNNNNNNNNNNNNNNNNNNNNNNNNNNNNNNNNNNNNNNNNNNNNNNNNNNNNNNNNNNNNNNNNNNNNNNNNNNNNNNNNNNNNNNNNNNNNNNNNNNNNNNNNNNNNNNNNNNNNNNNNNNNNNNNNNNNNNNNNNNNNNNNNNNNNNNNNNNNNNNNNNNNNNNNNNNNNNNNNNNNNNNNNNNNNNNNNNNNNNNNNNNNNNNNNNNNNNNNNNNNNNNNNNNNNNNNNNNNNNNNNNNNNNNNNNNNNNNNNNNNNNNNNNNNNNNNNNNNNNNNNNNNNNNNNNNNNNNNNNNNNNNNNNNNNNNGAAAAAAAAAAAAAAAAAAAAAAAAAAAAAAAAAAAAAAAAAAAAUCCUUAUGAGCCAAGUUUACUUCAGCUCAAUUACCCAGCAAUGUGAGGAUUUUGGGGCUUCCAUAGUACUUUAAGGCAAUGAAAACUACCAUCAACGUUUCCCACACUCCAUUCACUCGUUGCCUAAACAAAUCUUACGAUCUUCAUAACUUUUCAUACCUUUCCUUAUCUAAAAUGAGUGCAAACCAAGUCCAUAUGUUGUAUGUGCAGUAUUCUUACGAUAAGAAACAGGAAAUGAAACAAAAAUUAAGAAUCAUUUUCUUAUGUUCCCUUUCAUAUCCUUUUGGUUUUGCAGUAGAUUAAAUUUAACCAUCUAAUAUUUGUUUUCUGCUACAGUGAACCAAAAGAGAAUUAUUAUGCACAUUAGAAAGCUUAGUUAUUGCUUACUUCUCUUUUGAAUUCAGCUAAAGCCGCUCCAGAGAAAUCCUGGUCUAAGAACUUCUUAACAGCAACCUCCUGUAAGUUCAACAACAAUUGAAUGGCCAGAAAUCAGAAACCUGAAAAUUUAGUUUUCCCCCACCAACAAAAAAAAAAGAUCAAUAUAAUGUGAAGCAAGAAAUUUGAAGUGUGAAGCCUUUGUCCAACAAUUCAAUAAAAGAGUAUCGCGUCCAGACAGAAAAGUAGCUAUAAUAGAAAAAUGACGACAAAGAGUGCUUCCCAGGCCAAUAUAGGUUUCAGAUUCAAAUAAAUGAGGUUUUUUCAAAAUCAAAAGAACAUUUCAGCUGCAAAUUCACCAGUUAUCCAUUACUGUAAACUUGCAUGUAGAAAUCAAGUCAAGAAGAACAAGGAGAACUUAGAAAAAGUGAACAAACAAAUCAGCGUGAAAAGAUUAAGAUAAAGCUAGAAUGCCAAGAUAAGAAUAAUUAGAUAGGAGGGGCUUUCAAGGUCUCAUUAACUAAUUUGUGCUAUACAUAUAUUUCGCGGAAAGAAACAACUGAAAUAAAUGCAGGAAAAUUCAAGCUUACUGUGCCAUUCCAAUCAGCAUGGUAGACCUCUCCAUAUGAACCUGCUCACAAGAAAACAUGAGAUAGAUUAAUAUUAGGGAUGGGGACUAAAGAAACAAAACAUGCUGAGACGCAAUUCAAGGAUUGAAAUAAUAUCAAUAUUCCUCUUGCUAUAACCAUAUGAAGUAAGUAUCGCAGAUAAGGUGGCGUUAGCAUCAUAAGAUAAACAAGCCAAUUAUUGCCAACAGAACUACUAUUUUACCAUGCAAGUCUUGAGAACUACCAUUUUACCAUGCAAUUCUACACCUAGCAAGAAAUAAGAACCUAUUUUUCUUUUUAAAUCUCAAAAGAUGUUCUCCAGGGAAGUGGGGAAACACAUUUGUCAUGGAAAUAAGUGAAAAAAAAAAUCUAGAAAACUUACUUCAAAACACAUUUUUGCAGCAUGAGAACUAAAAAUUAAAACAAGAGGCAAACUGUAGAUUCUCUCUAUGGAUGAUCAUGUUAAGAGAAUACUUUGUUUAAUAUGCAUAAUUGAAUUUAAAUUAGUUAAAAAAAAAUUUUUUUUAUCGGAAUCAAAGGAAAAAAAGAAAGGAUUUUUUGUGUAUCUACAUGCAUAUACAUACAUUCACUCUAAAAUUGAAUUGGCCAUUAUGAGGCCGUGAUUGGUAUUGGUAUGCAUAAAUGUCUCGUCCCAGAAAAAUGCAUUACCUAGUCCAAUCCUAUCACCAAGGACCAGAUCUUCCCAAGGAAUUUCACAUUCACCCACAUCUACAUCAUCAAAUAUUUGAUCAGCCCUGGUCCAACUGGAAUCAAUUGAAGAACUAGGACUCUCCGGUUCCUUCAAUUUCAGAUUGGCACCCAUAAAUCUGUCGUGUGUGCACUUUCUACGAGCCUGGACACCAAUUUCAUUAUUUUCAUUAUGUUGAACAUUGACUUCCACAUCAUAUGGGAAAUUAUGUGCAUCCUUAAGAUUUUCUUCUUUAAAACUUGAGUUUACUUCCUCAACUGAAGGUGGUUUAUAGCAUUGAUUCAUGCUAGAUUCUGAAGCUGAAGAAGUACCGCUUGAUGAAUUCCUAGGAUCACCGUCUCUACUGGAUGAAUUCAAAUUACUGGAUGAUUUGAAGCCUUGAGAACAAAUCUUCUUAGACAUAGUAGAGCUGGUUGAAGCCAAGGAUGGCUGAUUAUAAUUAUUGGGUUCACGAUUGAUUCUUGGAAGGAAUCCUUCCAUAUAAUCAUAUUCUUUUUUUCGAGGGACUUCAUUGCAUGCAUAUCGGUUCUUCCACAUCAAUGGUACAGGCGGACGACCAGGGAGGGGAUUAUUUUUUUGCCCUUGAAAUUCUUCAACUUUAUUCUCAACAGGUUUACUGUGUAUGAAGCUUUUGCCAGUUCCUUUAAUUUGAAAUGGAUUAAGAUCUGAAAAGAGGUUCUUUGAAUCCUCUGAGCUAUUUUGGUUAUAUGGAAUAACAUUGACAUUCUUCCGCACAGAAUCAACUGCAUGGGCUCCAUGACUCCCCUUAUACAAAGAAGACCCAAUAGCCAAGGAGGAAAUAUUACCAUGUUGAUUAGAAGGAGCUGCUCUACUACAUAUCCCAGAAGAACCAACACCAGCAUCACUACUAGCACCAGAGAAUGUAGCUGAUGACUCCAAUCCUUCAGUGCUUAAUCUUUUUUCUAAAGGCAAACGACCAUCCAUGGAAGAGUUCUGACUACUGCCUUCACCAGAUAAUGGCUUUGGUUUAGAAUAGACAAUGUCAUUAGAAGAAUGAAGACCAGGGAAUUUACUGAUGUUUGGAUUACAUGAUAUAAAAUUAGUAUCCUUUGCACUUAGAACAUCAGCAGGUAUGAGUGUCCCAGGAUCUGCCAUGAGAUCAACCAAAAACUCCCUGAAAGGUAGAAAUUCACAUGUGAGAAGUGACAACAACUGGAAAUAUUUUCUUCUGCUAAUCAAAUUAACACACGUGUACAAACAUACACAAACUCAAAUUUGGUUCAUUUGUAUAAACUCUUGAACGACACGAGGCUUAAUCAAAUGGCCUAAUGACGGAUUUAUGUUCCAAAAAGAGGGAUCAAUUGACCCCUCCUAUAAAUCCCUUUAUAUACAUAUAGAUUCCUCUAAAUUGACCCCUUCUAAAAUUAAUAUUACACCUUGUUUAUAAUAUUUUAUUAUAUAUUUAACCCUUGAAAUUUUCUAGAUCUGCCACCGAAACGGCCCCACAAAAUCUUUCAGUAAGAGGUGCUACCUGGUUGUGAACAGUUUUAGGAUCUUAAUUCUUAAGUCACUUGAGACUAUAAGCCAAUCAAGCUAUCAAUGUCUAGCAUGUGACCUAGUAAAAUAAUGAGAUAAGUUUCACUGUCUUCCAAGCUUAAUUUUCCUUUCCAUGAGACCCGCAACUCAACUCUCUUUUCAUAGAUCUCCUCCAUUGCAUAUCUAUACAGACCUAUUGCAGUUUUGCUAAUGACUUUAGCAAGUCAGGAAAAGCUACAAGGAGGGAAGUGCAAAUACAUAAAUGAGAGAAACAUCCUUAAUUUAAAACUUAUAAUCAGUUGGACAAACCAAAUGAUAAAGAAAAUAAUAAGUAAAUAAAAACCUUCAACAAUAACAAGCCAUAACCUUUCAUCUUCCAGCUUUAUAAUGUUGAUAGCAUCAUCCUCAAUGCCAGUGUAAUGACUGCCCUUCACUAAUCGACAAGGUAAUCUUAUAUUGUCGGCCAAUACCUACAUUCAAGUUACAGAAGAUGAUGUACACAAAGUUUUUAGGUAGCCGACUAAGAUAAUAAUUAGAGUUUGGCCAGGAUAAACCUGCAGGAAUUGGUCACUAAUGGAAAUAUAGUGCUGACCUUAAAAAGUAAAGCUCGAUGUCGAGACAAACCAAUGUUUAUGGACCCAAUAGGCAACACACUUGUGUGAAGGGAUGUCCUCAAUUCUGUACUUCUUUCCAUCCAUCUUGCCAACAUUAUGUUAGCAUCCUUUACUGGCCCACCCAUAUGUCCUGUAACAAGUUCAGCUAGCCGCUGUACCAGAACACCAACAUCCGUAGCAGGGCAAUCUAGAGAAACACAAUGUGCAACUUGCAACAACUCUUCUAAUGCAGGAUCAAUUACUCGUUUGACUAUUACUGCUUCAAAACUAGAACUCCCAGGGUUUGUUUCCAGAUCUGUGAGAGAUGGCAUUUUUCCUUGUACUGCUGGACUUGUGGAGAACACAUCAUAAAAACCAUCAACCACUUUCUCCUCAUAAUCGAGUACAUUAUAUUCCUGGUGAGUCAAUCCAAGACGUCAAGCAAAUAGAAGAUAUCAUUACACAAAAGAAUCAUAUGUAAGCAACAGAAGCUUGAGUACUAUCAGCAUUUAGAGGUGCCUUAAGUGACAAUGAGGUAAAUCACAGGCACAUCACACAUUUGUGAGAUUGCCACAUACACUCAGGAAACCAUUCAUAUUUUCUCCUAACACAAUACAUUAAAUUUCUGGUGAAACAAUUUUAGACAAGGAAAGGUAAACAAACUGGAGCAAAAUGUCAUUAUGCAAUAACAUAAUAUGAAAGCAUCACAAAGUCCAGUCAUAUUGGCAGUUAGAUGUGACUCCAACAAAUUUGGGGUAAAUUAGAGGUGUACAUUUUUGUAAUUACCAAACAUGCUUCAUGAACUGUACAAUGUAUAAUGAGAUAACAGUGCCACUACUUAAUCUAUGAAACUAUAAGAACUUAUUUCAAAAUUUCUACCAAUUGCAGACCUUUAAAGUUCAUUAAUCUUGUGGAAGUUUUUGUAAGAUGUUAUUUCCAAUGUCUAACAUAGAGUGAGUUCAAGAAGCAUUAAUAAACACACCACAAACAAAAUAAGAUCCCACAAGAAAGCUUUUAAACAAUACAAAAAUGCGCAGGUGGAACUCAAUUGUACCUAAACUGAACAGGGUUUCCUUGAAAUAACAGGGGGGAGAAAAAGAAAAAUUCAAGAAUUUAACCUCCAAUUAUAAAGUUUUUCAAUUGAAAUUCCAUACAGGAUUAGAACCAUGCUCAGCAGCAGCUAAAACAAACCAAGCAAAGACUAAGACCCAAAUUCCAGUUCAUUCCUAAUAAUUCACCCCGCAUGAGAAUGAAUAUUACUUGAAUCCUAUCUCAAAUAAUUUAAGGAAAUACCAAUUAGUACCAAACAUAAUCAACAAUGACGAAAUACAGCUCUAGCCAAAUUCAAGCUCAUUAAUAGCCACUGACAUAUCCAAUAUUCAAGAAUAGUUAAUCUACCAUAUCACGACAAUGCACACUGUUCGCAGUCCUAAUUGAUAACAAUCCUCGAUCUAAAACCAGUUCAACAUAUACUUUGCAUGGAUUUGUUAAGCACCGCCGGAAACAGUGAAAAGAAAACCUUAGUUCCAAGCUCAUUCACUACAAUUCAUUGCAUUGAAAACCCAAUUAAUUGACCUCAUUUGUACAAUCAAGCAGCAAAAAGUCCCCUUCAAAAACAUCUUGAGAUCCUUUUUAUAACUCGCUGCAUUCAGAACUGAAUAACAGUUGAAUUGCUUUAUUCCCUCCCAACUCAACAGUAAAUUAAACAAAUUUCAAUUGGAAAAAAAAUAAUAACAGGGUAUUGAGCAUUGACUAACAAAAGACAAACUAAAGAACCCUAAUUCCUGUUCAUUCACUAAAAUUCCAUACAAAUGGUAGUAAAAAUUUCAAAAUUGAACUUCAAUAAGAGUCGAUAAUGCUCACCCAAUACUGCCUCGACAAGGCCUCCGCGGCAGCCUCUUCUUUUUCCCUCCCCACAUCGAUCCGAUGAUGAUGAUUUCCACCUAAACUCAACAAAGUUGCCGCUCGGAUCUGAUCCUUUUCAGGGUCGUCUCUAAACUCUGAAUUGGACGCGCUGAUCGCCAACGCUAACUGCACUUGGAACUCCUCCUCUGACGAGAAGUAAUCAGCACGAUUAUUAGAAUUAUUCGGCGCCGACGAAACAGUCGUGGCAGUCACGGUGGUCGUCGGUGGCGAAGAAGUCGACGGAGGACUAGGAGGACCAUUUCCGGAGGCAGUACGGUGAUCGGAAUUGGACGAUGGUGAGGGAGGAGUCUCGUUUGAUCGGUGUGGCUCGUGGUUACUCCCUAUGUGCAACUUCUUGAAAAUGUGCUUCAUUUCCUCUCUCUCUUAUCUCUCCAAUUUACCUCGCUUUGCCUUUCUUAUAAUCUACUCCUUUCACUGUCUAAUUUCCUAUGUAUGUACGUUUGAUCGUCUCUGAGUUUCUUUCACUUUCCCUCACUUUCUUUCCCUUUGAGGGUCAAGAGCCUCCAGAAAGGAAAGGGUGCUGUAAUGGGAGGGAAAACUUAAUGGGGUGGUAUAUAUGGUGGCCGGUAGUAAAAGGGGCUUUACCUUCAACGAAAUUACUAAAAUUACCACUGAGGGUUGAAUACUCUACGCUGCAGGGGCCCAAUUUUAACGAGCCAAUAAGAAGGCGACGUACUUGCUUGCGUUGUAGAGAGGCCCACAUGAUGGUUGCUCACUUGCCACUGUUUAAGGGCAUGUUUGGGUUAAUGUUUUACAUUUGGCGACGUUAAAAGUUUGUGUGCUACUUGUGGUUUUUGCAUAAUGAAGUUGAACACGUGUAGUAAAAAAAAAUUCAACCAAGACAAAUGAGUUUCUACCAAGUGGUAAAUUUAAACUUCAUUAGAGUUUAAUUACCGAGAUAACAAUCCAAUUUUGUUGUUCAACUUUAAUCGAGUAAGUUUUUAUAUUUAUUCUUUAAUAUUAAAAAAUUUCAAAUAAUAAAUUAUUCUUAAAAUAUAAAACUGUGAGUUGAAUGGAAUCCCAGUUGGUGAUUAUGAUUGAAGAUUCUAAUUUUAAGCUAAAGAAAUUAAUUUUCCUAGACAGGAACUUGAAGGAAAAUUAAGAUUCCAUCGAAUUAAAUGUGAAAGAUUUUAAGAUAAAUGGAAUUCUGAUCACAAGACCAAUGACGCGUUCCAAUAACCUUUCCCAUUCCUGUCGAUCUCACACAACGAAGACCAAGGACGCGUUCCAAUAACCUUUCCCAUUCCUGUCGAUCUCACACAACGAACGAACCAUAUAACAAGUGAAUUUUAAAUUUGGGCCGAACCGGGCUUGAAGUUGGACCCAAAGUGGGUUUAGAUAGGCCUAAACCCGCUCAAAUAAGGAUAAUGAUGUGAUUGAUUCAGUCUGUGGUCCCAAGUCAACAAGAGGGUGCUCCUAGCCAUUCACAUGGUCAAGUUAUCAGAAAAUGGUCAAACCUUGUUGUGAAAAUAUAAAAGAGGAAUUGCUUGCUGCCAUUCUCGGAGUAAAUUAAUUCCAUAACGUUCUAAUCUGAUUAUGGAGACCAAAGUUAAAGAAUAUAAGAAGAGAUGACAUGUUAAAAUGAAUUCAAAAAUAAAAUAAAACUGAAAUGUAAUAAAUUUUUCUUUCCAAAUUACCUCACACAGUAAAUUUUUGGAUUUCAGAAUUUACUAUUAUUAAGCAAUUGCAGGACAGUAUUUCUAUCGCCUUCAAUGCGACAAAUUAGCUCAAAUAACAUCAUAAUUUUGUUUCCAAGUAAAGUAGGAUUGUUUUUCCUCAUGCAAGCCAAAUAGAAGACCUUUUGAACUAGAGUAGAACACAGCAUUUGAGUAAACCACGACUUUGUUCAAACAAAAGCAAAAUGCAACGAUGAGGAUUAAAUAAUAAGCGCGGCAAAAAUGCCAUAGGAAUACAUUACAUUGAAUGAAUAAGAAGAAGAAUAAGUGCCAAAAAGAAAAAGAUGGUAAAUUACAAAAAUGAUAUGAGACUGUCGAACCUAAUUCCUUUUACCUCGAUUUUUCCUAGAAGAAACAACUGUCCAUCCAUCUUCUCCUUGAGCCUGCUGACUAUUUGGCUCAUCAACCUGCAUGUUCAAUUGAUUCGACUUUGACUGCAAUUUUGGUGCAUCAACCAUCAUGUUUGAUUUAUCAUCCAUGCUGUCAUCAUCGUCACUGUCCUCAUCUUCAUCGUCAUCCACAGCCUAGCAAAGAAUAGAAAAAGCAAAAUAAGAAGUGAUAUUCCAAACCAUUGAAAUAAUUUGACUUCUAAAUUCUAGCAUACUCUUAUACAAAAAGAAUUUUAUUCAAGGCAAUGUAAACAGAUGAUAAAAAUUCCUACCCUACGGAUGCCAGCAAUAUCUAAACUAUUGAAUAAACAAACUUCCCAGUCAGGAUAUUCCUCUCAUGCAGACGACAGAAACAUGCUAAUAUUAGAUCUUGAAUUUUCUAUUCAGUUAAGCCCAAAAGGCAGGGACCAAAAUAGAGUGCAUUCUUCUCUAAAGAUGCAAAGGAAAUGAAAUUCCAAAUUUAUUGCUAGUAUGGGGGCAAAUUUUAUAAAGUGCACAAUCAAGACACGUGCACAAGGGCUGAAAAAUUAUGGAAGGCAGGACAAUCCUAAAAAAGAAAUCCAUAAUGAGUAUAGCAAUUAUCCAUCUCCUGCUGAAUCCGAAGGGAGAUUUCAUAAUAAAUUAUCAGUAUAGCAAUUAUCCACAUGACAAUAGCACUAUCAAUUAUGGGUUAACGUCAACUUAUAUCAAGCUCCGGAAAUUUUAGCAUCAUAACAGCACUGCACAAAAGGUAAGUAAGAUGCAUUCAUAAGCAGAAAAGACACGUUACAUAAUUUCUAUGCAAAGAAAUUAGAGUACCUGUCUAACAUGUUGAUGAGCUCCUGUCACAGGACCUGCUUGCCUUAAAUUUUCAAUAGAGUUGUAAUUACCUUCCAAACACUCUUCGUGCAUAAUCAUUAGUUUUUCUGCAACCUGCGUGGAGCCAUAUGAAAUGCAGAACCAUAUAAGGUAGAAGUGAAAAUUGCAUCCACAAUGUCCAAAACUAGCUCCACUAGGACUGGCAUAAUGGAACAAUAAAAUAAGCCAUGGCAACAGGGCAUGGUUGCAAAUAAUAUAAGUAAACUUCCACAGUUUCGAUCAAGCAACAUGAUGAUACUCUAAUUACAAUGACAUACUUUACAAUUAUACAAGUUGAUAGUAACAAUAACUCAUUGUUACAAUUACACAAGUAGAAAACAACUCUUUGACACAAUAUUGCAAAAAAGUUAUACCUCCUCAACGCUUCCAUCCUCAAUCAUUGUGUUUAGAGAAAGCAAUCCUUCAUCCAAGAUAUUCUCUAAAUCAUCGAUAUAAAGUGGCUCUGGCAGAGGGAUGAAGAAGAUACACUCAAAAAUAGAACAAGGAAUAAGAAACAAUUAAAAUUCACUCUUCAAAAUAAAGAAAUAGAAUUAGAUACUAGCAAUCAGAAUAUAAUUUGUAGUUAAAAACUUAAAAUUAUGUAUUCUAAAACCAAAAACCCAUCAAUAUGAAAAGAAUCAAGCAUAAUCAAUAUUUUUUAUCAGUUCAAAAACAACCCUUGAAUAUGGUGAUUAGCUAGUUCUAGCAAAAAAACUCAAUUAAUUAGCAAUUAAACAGACAUUUCAACACAGAAAUCACGGAAACUAAAACCAAAUUAUUCUACUUUCUCCAACUAAAUAAAGAUCCAGAAGGGAACUGCAAACGAGUGACCAAUUAACAAUCAAAAAUUCUAAAUUUGCGACAUAGCAAAUCGAAUAAGGUAAAAAAGAUCCCAUCUUCGCCCAAAAAUUUGAUAAAAAGAAGGAACUUGUAAUGCUUGAGUUGAGAUUGGAUGAAUUGCACCGACUUGGGUUCAGUUACCUUUUGACUGAGUAAACCAGGACAAGACAUCGGCGCCGAGCUGGUUAGCUAAUUGGCCAGAUCCGCGCCCGCCCCACUCAUUCUGAACGGCAAGUUGCAGAGCCGACCAUCUGGAGAGAACGAGAAAUAUGCCUUCUUCAAAUAUUGGCAAUGACUCUGACAAUAGCUGCUUUUUCGGCUGGCCGCUGCCGCUUCCGUCCAUAGUGCUGCUUUCGAUUCAACUACACUCUCCGCUUUUGAGUUUGUAAAACCCUAUGUACUGUUUAGAGGAAGAGAUCUGUUUGGUUUCAAGGAUAGUGCAAUUCUUUUCCUCGUUGAAUUCUAUUGUUAUUGUUUUCUUUAGAUUUUAAUUUUAAUUUUUUUUAAGUUCUAUUUAUGGCAGCGUUACUCUCAUGUAUCUACACUUUUUUUUUUUCCUUUUUAGUUUAUAUUUUUUGUCAAUUAAUAUUAAAAUUAAUCGAGACUAACGCUGUUUUUUCCUCUCUUUUUUUUCCCAUCUUGCCCCUUGAAACAUAUUUAUUAUUCAUUUAAUCAAUUUUUAUGCUAAUCUUUGUUUCUUACCAAUAAAUCUUAAUUAUGCUUUUAUUUUUUCACAUCGUAAUUCUUAAAUCAAAUUAUUUUGAGAACAAUAUAUGUAAAAAAAUCAAAUUAGAAAAAAAAAACCUCGCAAAUUAAAAAAGAGUCAUGUUUAAUUGAAAGGGUUUGUCCAUUUUUAUUGAAUAUAUCUAUAUAUCUCCUUAAUUUAGAAAUUCUAGCUUGUCUGUCCUGUAUUUUAACAUCUAAAAAUUAAUUAAUAAAAUAAAAAAAAAUCCAACCAACCAAAUUAAUUCUUCGAGUUAUAUUAACAUUGAAAAACAAAAUUGCACUAUAUAUAUAUAUUGGGAAAAGAGAAAGUUGAGUUAGGUCCAUAAAUAGUAAGGCAAAAUAGUACCAAUAAAGACCGAGUCAACAAAAUCCAUAUUUAUAGAUUUAUCUAAAAAUCUGAUGGAAACUAGCAAUUCACCUCAAAAUCAGCCGAGUGUGGCGCAUAAUACACAAAUGUCUCUGCAUUUUCCUCCCCACGUCUCAUUGCUUAACUACACGUGUCCAAAUCUUGCAUGUCCCCAUGCACGUAUAAGAACAUCACCGUCUUCUAAAGAAACCCUAAAUCAGAUUUACUGAAAACAAACAAAGAAAUCAAAUUAGAAAAGACAAAUAAGGAUGAGCCAACUAAAGCCUGAAAGGCCUCAAGAAGAGGAGGUAGCAGAGAUUAAAACUAAUAAUAAUAGCGUUGAACAGACUAUAGCUGAGGAUAAGCCAGAAAAGCGUUUGAUCAAAGAAUCAAUUGCUGGACAGGUUCUUUAAUCUAUUUUUCACGUUCUCUCUUGGAAAUUCAUUGAUUCAAUCAUUUAUGUGUGUGUGUAUAUAUAUAUAUAUAUAUAUAUGCCCUGAAUACAACAAUUGAACUUUUUUAAUUUCAGUUUAUAACUUAAUUUAAAGAGAGCAAUUUUAAUAAUAAUAGAACAUUUAUUUGAUGAAGAACAGAUGCAGAUAGCAGAACAAUAUUCCAACAGAGCUCAAAUUCAGUCAUUGCCUACAACAAUAACAUUUCCACAAGGUGGUGUUAGUGGCUGUGGUGGAAUCACAAUUGGUGAAGCACUUGAAGCUACAGCACUAACAGCCGGCCAGAAGCCUGUUGAAUGGAGUGAUGCCGCCGCGAUUCAGGCUGCUGAAGUAAGAGCCACUGGUCGCACCACCAUUAGCCCUGGCGGUGUUGCCGCUGCUGCACAGUCUGCCGCAACCCUAAAUGCUAGGGCUACGAGAGAUGAGGAUAAGACGAAACUCGCUGAUAUUCUUGCGGUACUUCCUUACAUUAACACAUUCUUUAUUAUUAUUGACUCUUUUUUAUCCAACACAUUUUCCAAUAUGGAGCUUGUGAAUAUGUUCUUAUAGGAUGCGACUUCAAAGUUACCGGCAGAUAGGCCGGCGACGAGGAAAGAUGCAGAAGGGGUGACGGGUGCAGAAAUGAGAAAUGAUCCGUACCUGACUACACAUCCAGCAGGAGUGGCUGCUUCUAUAGCGGCGGCAGCGAGGCUUAACCAGCAGAACUCUUUCAAAUAAUUGAAAGCACUUUAAAUUAGGGUUUUUUUCUGUAAUAUUAACGCUUUGAAAUUGAAAUAAACUGGACGACUCGGAGUUUGUUACAUAUGUCUUGGGCGAAAGAAAGAACAUAAAUGAAUUUCUUCUCUCACCCAUUUUGUAUUUAAAACUGAAGAUCAUGUUAAAUACAUAAUUUAAUUUUUUUUUUUUUUUUACUUUCUAAUUUUGAUGUGAUGUUAUGGGUUUUAUUUGGAUUACAUCUUGUAGAUUAGAGAUUCUUGAAUGGGAUCGGAAUAAUGCCCUAUCAAUUAGGGAAAUGUUGUCAAAGAUGAUCAUCUACUGCACAUAAGGCAAUAGAAAUUUGAAUUGGUGCGUCAAUGAGCUUCAAUAGAAUGUUUAACUUCGUGGCUAGUUGGAAAAUAAUGUCACUUAUUAUGUAGUUUUUGUGACAAAUAUAUAUAUAUAAUUCUGAUCACACUGAUUUCUCAGUAUGGAAUGUUUCGAAUGAACAAUAUAUAUUUACAAUAUGCGUUGAAUAUGAAUUUUCUUUAAAAAAAAAAGUCAGUUUCGGACUUAAAAUAUAUAUAUAUAUAUAUAUAUAUGUUAUAUAGAUUGUAUUUGUAAUUCUCAAUGAAAUUGUCAUUGUUUUUGGUUAAAUUUGCUAUUUGAUAUAAUAAUAAUGUCGAGUAGAUCUUAAAAGUAUUUUGAAAAUAAUAGUGAAAUUUGAAUUAUGUGAUAAACCUGUAAUAAACCUAAGGUAAAAUAAUUACUUGUACUUUUAGUGUAAUGUAAGGAAUACAGAUUGUAAAAAAAUCUGCAUAUAGGAUAAGAUUUGCCUGCACCUGCACUUGAGCAUGAGGUCUCCCAUAUGAAUGCUUUCAUUUGAUAAAAAAAUAUUUUUCUACUAAUUUUGGCGCAAUGAGUGUAGAUAAAUCAUUCCCGUAUAGAAGUUUUCUUCCUAUUUAGACCGGUGAAGUCAGUGUGCCCCAUUUGCAUCCCCUUGUAAUCUCGUUCGGCCAGAUUGCCUAGAUUUUAUUUGGCUUGGAUACAUCGUCUCCUGCUACUUCUAUUUAGUGCAUUGGCGUAGCCAUUUUUUUCCAGAUUGUAUUAACUAUUUAACCUGGCUGGUUUACUUUAGCGCACCCAAAUCUAUCUUUUUCAAAAUUAAUUACUACAAACAGAAUUAGAUAAAUUAGAUUGAGGUCAGAGACGAAGUUUAACAAUAUCGUGCCUUUAGGACCAUAAGGAAACUGUAAAAUGUCGGGUCACAUAAAACAGAAUAACAAUUACCAUGGAGAAAAACUGUUGGAGAUCUGGAAAAGAGCAUCAAUUACUACAGCCAAACUCUCGCCCUUCACUGCAGUAACGGAAUAUAUUCCUCUCGUGUUUGUAAAAACAUGACUUACUAUGUCUGCAUAAUCUAAACUCAGAUUUGAUAAUAACGGGUGAAAUUUUUUGAGAGGUAAAUUUGAAUUUUCACCAAGCAUAGACAAUAAAAUCCGAAUGCAUGAUAACAUCAGAAAAUUUAAUGUUCAGGUGAUUCCAAAUCCACCUCAAAAAUCAUAUAUGUAGUUCUAUCCAAAGGAGCUGCCAAUGAAUGAUCUCUAUGCUACUGAUGAGUUACGAAUACAACUGUAUACAUUAUUCCAACACCAUUGAUAGAGCGCAAGACAAACUAAAAACUGGCUCUAUCAUUCUGAUCCAUCUUGAGAUGAAAGCAGUGAUUUAAAUACAACAAAACCCUAUCAUGUACAAAUCUACAAAAUGCAACAUUACAAAAUGGAGGACAAAAAAUAUUCCUUCCCUAAAUCAUAUCUAUAAACAUGGAAUUCCAUGAGAAUUACUCACCCUUGAAGAUUGCAAUUUUCCGUGUAUCAACUGCCAAAACUAACCUUUUCAAGCGCCAGUUCUCUGGUGAUGAGUGUUAGCAAGACUUGCACCAACUCUCUCACCCUUGCUUCCCUGCCAACAAAUUUUUCGAUACAUGAUAUAAAUGUGUAAUCUAUAUUUUAGGCUAGUUUGGCCUUGCUUGGGCCAAAAGUUGCAAAAUGUACUUUUGUGCAAAUGGAUGAUAGAUUCUUUUAAGGCUGGGUUCGACUCAAAUACGUUUUGAAAGACCCAAACCACAGUAGGCCAGUUUCCGGUUAAAGUGGUCCAGCACCUAGUGCCGGUUCAAGUCUCAUGACAUGAUAAUUUAAUUAAAAAAUGUGAACCCUACAACUACACAAUGUUUUGUAGCCAUGACCCACAUGCAUUGGAGCUUUCCACUUCAAGUAGUACACAGGACUAAGCCAUCAAUCUAAAUAUGGUCUUAUUGCUUAUAAAUGGCUACUUCCAAUGUUCCAUGGAUAUUGCAAAACAGAACAUCAGUUUAUUUUUGUAUUAUUGGUAUCCUGAAAAUUUUACAGCUAAGGUUGUCUCAAAAUGUUAAUACAUUACUCCGUCCAUCAUUUAUUGCGAGUUAUUGCCAGAAUCACAGCAAUGAUCUCCCCUAUGCCUUUUUUUUUUUUUAAACAAUACUAGAUAUCUGUCAACGUUACAAGUCUAGUGAACAAAUUAUGCUUAAAAAAUAAUUUCUCACCUGGUUGUUACAAGAUCACAAAAACUGGGAAAUAGCACGAGUAGAUGGGGAUGCUUGUUUUCAUCCUCCUUGUCUUCCAGGAUACUUCUCAAAUUAGAAUGCAAAGGAAGAACAGGCACUGUAUCUGGAUGUAUUCUCAGAUGAGCUAGUUCUUUAAGGACGUAGAAAAUUUCUUCAAGCCUCACUGCUGGUAAUGGAUGUUCACCUGCUGGAGCAGUUGUGAAGUUCAACAAGCAUAACCAAGAAGAUGAGAUUGAUGCUUUCACCAAUUGAUAAGUUGCAUGAUAGAAGCUAUGUACCUAGAUCCUUCUCGUCCAUCAGAAAUCUGUUAAAGAUGUCUUCGCAUCUAACUAUAAGAACCAUGAGUGAGAUUUUGCUCACUUCCAAUCUUGUUGAGUUCCAAUCACUCACUUCAUUGUUAAAACUGAAAACACAUUAAUGGUUCAUUAAAAAUAAUAUUCCACAAAAGAAAAAAAAAAAGAUAGUGCAGCCAAGGGAUUUGGUUAUUAUAAUAUAAUUUAUCUAUCCAUAACCUCAAUUCUUCAAAUGUUUUUAUACGGGAGAGAGAUUGCUGAAUGGAGGAGCUUCCAAUGAUUAACAAAUGUAGCAGCAGCAUAAUAAAUUUGACAUUACCAACUGAUUGCUCAAUAUGUUUACUUGUUCUAAGAACAACAAUGGUAUUGGAUUAGAAGAGUCCACACAUACAAGUUGUUGACAGAAGCAACAGCUUGAACCUUCAGGUUCCUACAAGCACAUAAUCAAAGAGAAGGAAAAAUAUCUGGGACAAUGCAUAUUUUAUGUAUUUCAUGGAAGGACAAGAUCCUGGGGUUGCUUAUUAUAUACCAUGUCAUUCAAGAGAAAACAAAAAAAUCCAAAAAGAUAGAAAGAAAAUUAGAUUGGCCUACUGAACAGUGAUUUUUACCUGCUCAAGAAAAACAAUUUCUGCAAGCAAGCCAGGGAAAAUCUGCUACAAUGGGAUGGCAUAAGCUCCACGGUCUCAACAGGCAAAGAGCAUGUACGUGAUGCACAACGAUCCAUGGUGGAAACUAGUCGCCCCAGAAUCUGAAUGAAAAAUGGAAUUAGCAAAGCAAGAGUAAUCAGGCAUCAAAGCCUCAAACCAUGAAGAAAACUUUGCAACAGUGUUAAAAAGGCACAUGAACUAUUAAUGUGCAAUAUAUAAUCCAACUGGAACUAUCCAGGUUCCACUAACGAUAAUUAUCACAUAUAUUAUAUGAUUUGGGUCAUCAAAGUAAAAUGCUAGAAAAUCAAAGCAAAGUUUGACCUAUGGCUACGAGAUAUAAUAGCUUUGGAAGACUCAAAAUUUUGCAGAUAUCUAAUCUAACAACCUGGACAAACUUUAUAAAGUGGGGUAAUGCAUGAAAAGCGUCUAGGGUUGAUUAAUCCUUUAAACAAUUGGCAUAUUCUAGUUUGGAUAUCAAACCCAAAUCUGCUACAGAAAUUAAUAUGUUGAGUAGCAGAGUGAUCCCACCCAGUUCCCAUGCCUCGCCCCAACUUUUUCAGUUUUGCAUCCAUCACUUCCCUAGUGGGAGAAUAAGCGUAAUAGUUGAAGAUGAUCAGUCGAACUACGUCUAUAAAGAUAUUAUCUAUAUGUGUCUAGCCAAGGCCCCCAUGUCACACAGGUAACACAAGGUAUGCUAUAGUAAGAAAAUUACAUCAACAGGUGCAUCAAUUGGCGAUUUAAGAAUCUUAUCACCCAAAACGUGCAAAAUGUCCAUCUCCAGUGCCUCAUCAGCCUUAAGUGCUGCAGCUGAGAAUGAGUUGGAAGGGAUGGCACGACCACAAUAACCGACAAGGAAUAUUUCGUAAACAUCUGCUAUUUCUUUCCAUACACGCAUUCUUGCAAGUCUACUAAUUUUCGAAUCUGGUCCAGAGUUCAUAUGAAAUUUGCAAAAAUCAUCAACAAGAAUACGAUUGAAGCCUUCAACAGCGACUCGCCAAAGUGACCCAUCUGGAUUGUCUCUUCUCGUUGUCAUACACCUACAAAAUAAGCUCAGUUUUUUUAUUUACAUUUCCAAAAGUUUCUUCUGACAAGCAAGGAAAGCACAAGGGGCACAGUUCCCUAAUUUGUUCCGGCUUUUCUGACAUUAAAGCAAAUUGGUUACCUAACACUAUAUACAGCAUUGCAUAUGAUUCUAUAAUAUCAGGUAUACUGGCUCCAAUCCACCACAAUCCAUUCUGAAAUUACGUAUCCAUGGAUAAUAUACAGAACUCAUUUGUGACUAUUACAUAUCUGUUACAAAUCAAGAUACUGAAUUUGCACGUGUAUUUCACAUUCCAUGUUAUAAUACAUUGAUCCUCAUUUUUACUGCAUGCGGAAUCACAGAUAAUUAGCUAAUUAAUGUGUUGAGAUUACUUCUCAUUUUCAAUGAACGGAAUUAUAGCUCAUGACAAUUGAUAGCAUAAAUGCAGGACCAGAUAAUAAAGUGAAUAACCAUUACCUUCCAAGACUUUGAAUAAUUUCUGGAAAUAUAAUAUAUUUUUCAACUACUGGAGCCUGUAGCAAAAGAUCUAUUAUCACAGGAACAAGCUUUUCAGCAAACACACAACUUGGGAUCCCACUGAACAAAGUUGUUGAUUCUGAUCCCUGAUGUGGAGUUUCAACUUCUUUUGGCAAAAUGGAAGCUGUACCAUUAGGUGUUUCUUUCUUUCCUUUACCCAUGCAAACAAUUUGAGAAUUUCAACAUUAUUAUCACCUUAAUGGAGAUUCUGGAUAAUUGAUACCAAGCCAGUUACGUACCUGAAACAUUAUUACUAAUGGCCGUGUGCUUAACCUCAACAUCCUCAUUUGUUAAAGAAGAAUCUGAUCUUGGCAGGUAUUGCAAAAGCUCCCUAAGAAGUACAAGCCACAUUGACGAGAUAUGCUCAGCUGGUUGUAAUAGCGGUAAGAUUUCUAAUAUAGUACGCAGCACAGGUGGAACAUGUCCCUAGGGGAAAGUCACCUUUUCAUUAGAUAAUUUCAUAUGUAGAGGAGUCAAUUGCACAUAAUCUGUGAAGGACCAUGUUUGAAACAAAAAAGUUUACUUACAAAUUCACUUUCGAAGUUAUCAUUAGUAGCUAUGAUUUGCUUAACGGCCAAAUUUAUGAUUGCAAUCAACUGAGAGAACAUCUGAUCAUCAAACAUCCUUUGUGCUUGCACAUACAUUUCACCUGCCAAAAAUUUGAGGUCAUCCAAAGUCCAAGCAGCCAAAUAAAGGUUCCAAAUCCAGAGGCACAACUUUAAUAAAGACAACAUUAAUCACUUCAUUAAGGGCAGGACAAAUGUCAUCUUCAGACAUCAGAACAACACAUGGGCAGGAUAUGGAUUAGUAACUGAAUAUUAAUAUAAUAAUCUUUUCAUGUGAUUGUUAUCUAUGCUCAAUGACAUCCUGGUCUUGCAAAAAAUUCUCAGGCUGAAGUAACAAAUUACCAAGAUCAUGUAAAAUCUCCUGCUUCACCUUGCUAGCUGCAUUAUCACUGUAGUCUGGGGAUUUUCGAAGUACAUGCUCAUAUACAUCAAAUAUGGAGUUAAGAUAAGGCAUUGGCAAAUUACCCUGAAACAGGAAAUCAUUUAAGUUGUAAACAAUUAUACACAGUUGAUAUUAGAAGAGUGUGACUAUAAGAGUCUGUCACUGCUAUAUUUACACAUGCAAUUUAAAAAGACAUCAUGUCAACUAUUUUAACUUAAAAAGAGGAAAUAGUAGCUCUAGUUUUGACCGUGUAAUUAUUACCUUGAGACUAUGAGAAACAACAGUUGUCUGCAAACAAUUUAUAGCAGCAAUAGCAACCUCUUUACUACCAUUUAAAAUACUGUUCUUUACAAAGAGAAGCAAAGAUUCCCAUCCUGCCCAAAUGAACAUCAUGUAAUAUUCAUAGGGGUUUUCUCAGUAACAAUGCGAGACAUGCGGAAGCUACAAUGUUUAUACCUGACCAGAAAUUGCUUAAGCUACUGAGAAAUGGAAAGAAAGAACGUAAUAGACGUGCUAUUCCACCAAGGACCAGCACAAGUGUUUCAUCCCAUUGUUUCUGUACUGUGUUACGACUGCAAAUUCGAGGGAGAAGGAUGCACAAAUAACACUAUCAAGACAGAUGAAACUCCAUAUAAAUUCACAAGAAGAAAAUAUAUAACAUUUAUACCUGUGAUGUAUCAGCAUAUGAACAGCCUUUCCUCCUCGAGUUCCUAGUUCCUUCCCUUGUGAUUCAUCUUUUGAUGACGUUGCAGCCUACAUAAACACAUACAUCCUAUUAAUACAGGCAACAAAAGCUCUUAAAUAAAAUUUGUGCUUUUUUUCUCUACAGAAAAGGGCAAUUGUUAUUAUUACCAUGUGCGAAGCUUGAUCUAAAGCAGGAAAAACAUAAUUCCAAAGACAAUCUUCCCACAUGCUUUUUGAAAGUUUUUGCCCGUUACUUCCGAGACUCUGAAAGAGUGUCCUGACAGCAGCAUUUCUGACCUGAAAAUACAGCUCAAGUUCAAGUUCCAGUUCCAAGAAAAGAAAAAGAAUGAAAUACAAAUGGAUUUAACUAAAAACGUUAUUUUACUGCCUAUAGCUACAUGAAUCCAUAUCCUCUUAUGGGUCUUGCUUGAAAUUCUGUAUAUGCCUGGAUGCGUAUGAGCAUGCGGAGGUAUAACUUCCACCCAUGAGACUUCUUUCCUAACAAAUAAAAACUAAAUACAUGUAUAGAUGGAUGGCUAGUGUGGGAAUGCUCAGAGAUGUAACCACUCAAUAGACAAUUUCAAACAAACAUUGAAUUAACUCCCGAAAGAUAGUGCAUUAUUAAAACCUCCACCUGAUGUAAAACAAAACUUUUGUUGAACUCCACAGGUCACAGCUCCGCAAAACCAUCUUAACUGGAGGAGCAUGUGCAAGUAAACAUUAUGACCUUCACACAUUUUUAUCACUCAAAUUAUUUGUUCUAAACCAUGUACUACCACCAAACUAUGCCAAAUCUUAGUUAUAAUGAGGCCAAAACCAUCAUACCUCUGGUCUCUCAUCAGCUCCAAGCCGUUGAAGUAAUGAAAAUACAGAGAACAACAAUUUGUCACGAUCCGUUAUAUUUAUUGGGGACGCUUGGUCAUUAGGUUUAUCAGUUACUUCCAGAGUUUGUUCUUCCUUUGAUUCACCAUCUGUUUGCCUCAAAAUAAAAUGCUCAUCGAGGACACCUAUAGUUUUUUAACAAAGCAAAACACUAAUCCAUAAAAGUUUAAUGUAAAGAUAGCUGAUGAAGUAAUGUGGCUGCUAAAAGUAACAGUUUGCAAAGGAAUCUCAACUGGUUUCCUUUUCUUCUGGAGGUCCAUUUAGAAGCGUCUUUGCAAUAAAAUCAGUUGUGGUCCAUAAGAGGCCUAUUGCUGUUAGACUUAUAUUCAACUCAGUCUUCUGAGAACUGUAUGCUCCAGUGACAUCUACACAUCUGCAAUAUAAACAUCAGCAUUUACUGGUAUGAUUCGAACAGGUGUGGUAACUAUUAUCUUGAACAGUAUAUUGAUAUCAUAAAUUGCAAGCUAUCCACUAUCACUUUCAUAAAAAGAUGUGCAAAUUGUUCUGACUGAUAAAUUUAUGUAGUUUUAUUAAGUAUUCAAAAUUUAUGUAGUUAAUUGUGUUCUCUCUACCGUCAUGUUUCUAAAUCUUCUCCUAACUCAGAAAAUUCUGAAAAAAGUUGUUUCUAUUUAUUAUUUCAUAGCGAAAGGGAUUUGACAAAGAGAAAGCUAUUCAAAGUAUACCGGAUUAUGUUUCCGCAAACUUUGAAUAUCCCACUAGGAACAAAACUGAACAAAUCGUAUUCUAUCACAGAAUCACUGUAGCACUUAUGACUAACCAUAUAUUUAGAACCUUUAUUUUACAAUGCAGAAUAAAUGAAAAUGUCAUUAUACCAUUUGCUUAAAAUAUUAGGGAAUUACUUUUUUCAGUAUAGUAAAAUAUAUAUUUUAUAUUUCAACACUUCAUGAAAAUUCUAUUCGAAUGCGUGAGCACACAGAUACACAAGCAUGCAUGUAGAAAUCUAUAAUAUGCACACGAAAUGUUUAUUUAAGUAAAACAAGUUGUAGCAGAGAAGAUAUGUAACGGAAUAGAUUAAGGAGAACAUUAUUAAAACAGCUAAAUUUGAAAUCUUACACGUGGAGAUACUCAGUGGGUAUAGAUGUGAGUCCAUCAUUCAUAAUGACUCGUAGGCUCUGUAGGAAAACAGAUUCAUCAGAUCUUUUUCAUAGAAAAGACCAAGCCAUUGUUCUUAUUCAGUAUUCCACAAUGUAAAUAUAUUAUUGUAAGAGAAUUGCAGAGCACAUUACGGCUUAGGAUUUCAAUGACCAAAUGUAUCAUACAGAUCAUAGUGCAAAUAAAAACAUCAGAACGCAUUUUUUUUUAGUUCCCAUUAUGAUAUGUAUAUAAAGCAUGUUUGUCCCAGGGUAUGCCACAUAUGUGUAGCCAAAGGAAGAAUGUAAUUAGAAAGAAGAUUUCGAAAUCCACAGACUCAGGCAUAAUGUUUAGGACCUGGAAGCCCAAGGUGACAAGAUCUUUCUCUGGCGCAUCUGCAACAGACCUGAAGAGGCACAGGAGUAAAAGGGAUCAACCAAAGACAGAAAAUUCUUAAAUGGAAAUGGGCGAUUGAGAGCAAAUAAUUCUUCAAAUACUGAACCUUAACAUUUCAAGAAUAUUUGGCCAACUGUAAUAUAAUUUUUCUCCAUGCCUCUGAAAGAGAAAAAUAAACAAAUAAAAAAGGGUUGUAAGAAAACAUUAUAAGAAUAAUUAAUAAUCAAAGAUAAGAUAAGUUAAAUUAAAUUAUAAUCUAUUUUAGUAAAGCCAUGUCACCUCCAAAAUAUGGAGAAGAAUUUUCAAGGAGCCAGCAUGAACAUCUGCAUUUUGAGUGGAAAAAUAAAGAGCCCUAAGUGGAGAUACGACAGAACACUCGAGCGAUCUCAACUUUGCAUGCUUAGUUUCCAUCUGGAGAGAGUGCAACAACAAUAAGCAGCAUAAACUCCCAAAGUCAAUAGACUACUUGUCAGCCAUGAAGAGUUAAAAUUUACUCACAUCAUAAGUUACCCCAUGGAGUCUGGAUUGCAUGUAAUCCUGGAACUGUUCAGAACCUAAAACAGCAGAUAUUGAUCGAUCUAAUGCAUCGAAGGCCAUAUUUCGCAAAUGCUGAUUAGAAUUAUCAGCAAGCUGCAAUAAAUACAUGCGAUGUCAAUGACGUAGCAGCACUAGAAUUAUACCAUACAAGAAAAAUAAACAUAAAAAUUACCUCCAUGAAGUGCCCCACUACAUGAUCCCACAGUGGCUCUACUCCUGCAAUAUAGUAUAAGAAUGAGCGGUAAACAUAAAAUUAUCCAGUUUGCUUGACUUUGCAUGAACUUUUAGCAGAGAUGGGCAUAUACAGAUCUAUGAAUCUAAAACAGGUACAAGUUACAACUUAUUACAGACAAGAACAUUUUUAAGUGAAAAAAAAAUGGAGCACAGUUUGGAAUAUGAUAAAAAAUUUAAAAUGAAAAUGUCAAAACUCUUAGAGACACUAGCAGUAUUAAGAAGUAUCAAUGAACACUCAAAUUCACCGGUGUUAGUCUAGUGUAAAAAUCCACAUCAAUAAGAAACCAUAAAAAGGUUCUCCAGUACAUAGAAUGAUAAAAUCUAUAGAGAUUAGAAAACCUAGGAACUUUAAGUACAACUAAGAGAGACUUUUUAAACAGUAAUACUCGAUAACACUGAGUCAUUAGCAAAAGGCACUUGGGGAAGGGGAAUUCUUGUUUCAAAGGCCUUUAGGAAUACAGCACAAACAUGUGACUAUAAAAAGAGAAUGUAUUAGUGAUAGGUAGCAAAUUCAUAGCAUAUCAACAUGAAUCCAGAGAUUACGCUGUGUAAAUGCUCAAAUAUGCAAAAGCAGAAAGGAAUACAAUUUUAUUACACCAAUUACUGCAAAUUCCACAUUACAUACUGUGAAGAUUAUUGACAAGAAUGGAUAUCAUCCUUUCCACUGAAAAACUGAUGCUUCCAAUCUUUUGAUUCACUGCUGGGCCAAAACCACCUGACGCAUCACACAUGCAUUGGUGUGACAAUUGACGCAGUGCAGAAAGAAGUGAUUUAACUGCAGAUAUGCGCAUCAAUGCUGAACUCUCAAAUAGCUUCACACAUCAAGAAAAGAUUAGUUAGAAUAUGCAGUCCAGUACUUUAAUGUUUUGACAAAAAGACAAUGCAGAUCCAUUAUAUAUUUGUUUUUACAUUUCAUUGAAAAUGGUAAUAUUAUAUGACACCAUAUUCAAGAACUCAAGAUGAAUAAAAAGUUGGAGAAGCAGCAAGCCACUUCAAGAAAUAGGGGAAAAUGUUGGUUUUCUUAUUUAAGAUGGCACCACAGCAGGGAGGGAAUGGGACGGGAGGGGGUGUUGAUGUUUAUUUCUCAAAAAAGGGAAUCAUAUAACAGGAAAGAGGACCAAAAAAAAAACACAGAAUUCCAGAAAUGUCUCAGUUCAUUCCAAAAAGAGUUCUGAGAGAUACAGUUCUGACAUCUGCUACCAAAUGGCACAGAAGUUCCACUACUUGCCUGGGAAUUUAAAGAAGACAGAACACUGAAGUCACUGUAUUGGCCAGAAGAUUCUCUAGGAAGCUUUGAGACAGCCGUGGAGACUUCCUGAGGAACAAAAAGGAUGUACUAAGCUUUAAUUUAAAGCAUCAAAAUUGUCCUCCUCAGAGAACCAUCCUUACAAGAGAUGAAGAGCCUAGAGCCGCAAAAAAAAAGUUUAUUCAGAUUAUCAAAAAGCAAUACAUGUCAAUUUAAUACAUAGCUGACCAUUGAGCAGAAGAUCUAUCAAAGCCACAAUGCCAUUUUCAUCAUAUGUAAUAUUGUUCAUUUAGUAUUUCCCAAGAAUUGUAACAAGUACAAGGAAACAUAGCAGGCCUCAUCUACUGCAGUAACAGAAUUAUGGUUUUCUAAGUUAAACUUUUCGGAUGAAGUGAAUAAAAUAGGAGAGCCACGUUCAACCUCACAUUUAACACAAAUAAUCCAGACUGGGCGUUAUUCCACAUCAUUUUUGUGCUGUGACUGUAAUUUUAGAUUGGAACCUAUAUGGUAUAUAACAUACAUUACUCAACUCUUUGAUGUAUUACAUCAAAGCAUAUUCAAAUCAGAUCCAACCCACUUUAUAAGUGGUUCUACGAAAAGUUCUAAUCAACCUAUAUUCAAAUUUUAACAAAGAUGGGUAUGUCUGUGCAAAAGACAUGCAUUAUUUAACAUAUUACAAUUACCAGUAAUUUCCAGACCAUGCCCCAUAAAUAUAACCACAAUUCAAUAUUAACCUGAGAUAAUUUCUAACGUUACCUGCGUGGUGGCAUGUGGUGAGUGGAUUGCCCGAUCUAAAGCUGCCAAAGUUUCCAAAACCUGAAUUUAUUAUUAAAGUCAGUACAGAUUAUAAACAUCAGCUCAUAACAGAUACAAAAAAGCAAAGUAGGAAACCAACUCACUAAAACCCAUGAUGGCCCCAAAACAUUGUGCAACCGAUGAGCAACGUUGAAGAGAGUCCUCAGGGCCUGAGUUACCAGAGCAAUUGCAAAAAAAUGAAGAAGCAGCUAACAGAGUAGGAAUGAAUAAAUAUUCUAAACAAAUAAACCGCAGGAACAAAGGCUUCAUGAAUGUAAAUAUUAAGGCAAAAUAGCAAAAUUAUAAAAAUACCUGCACAUUUUUGGGAGUAAGGACAACACUGUCCCUCUGUUCAACUAGUGACUCAGGACGUUUUGACCCAGGGGACAGCACUGCACUGCAGAAAUCUCAAUUUAAUCCAGAAUUUCAACUCAUCAGGCGGAUUGAAAUUGUAAAAAAAUAACACAAAUCCAACAUGUUACAAUAAAGACCUAAACUAAAGUUUUAAAAUGUCAUUAGAAACUUAUACUGCAGGUAUUGUAGAGUCACCCAACAGAAAUAAACCAGAUAGUUUUAUCAUUUUUUUACCACUUGUCAAAAUGUGCAUCUUACAUGAGCAUAUAUAUAUAUAUAUAUAUAUAUAUAUAUAUAUAUAUAUAUAUAGCAAACAAGAAUAAUUGACGCUUCAACCUGAACACCUUACAUAUACAACAGUCAUGAACAACUAUUAACUGUUCUUGCUAAAUGACUUCCAAGUAUUCAUUUUAAUUUACAAACCAUGUUUAGCUUACUGUGAAAUGAUUGGAGACUAUCUGGAAAUUUCCGGGAAAGGAAAUUUUAAAAGAAAUGCAAAAAGAGUAAUGGUCAAGAAUCUUUUUCCAACGUUUAUCAAGUAACAACAUCCUUAAGUUCAAAUCUUUAGCCCUGAAAGAGGGAAGGAACAUCAAUUGGACAUCUCUCAGCAUUAUCAACUUAAGAACUCAAGAAGGGUAAUACAUGUUACUCUCUUCCUUGAUCAGAAGGGAGCGGAACUUUUUGGCUCACUUUCUAAGAAGAUACUGCAAACUACAAGCUCAAAAAGCUUUGCAAAGAAAAUAACUUUUGGCACGACCAUCUAGAAAUAAAUUGAGGGAUUACAAAUCUAUUGUUUGAAAUGAGGCAAUUCUAACUAUCAGGGAUAUUUUUGCAAGCACGAGUUUCUCCUAUUCUUAAUUGUAAAAGGAAAAUUCUAUAAAUUGGCACUUGUGACCUUUUCCUUUGUAGUGAAAAAUCACGGGUGGCUCUUCACAGGUGCAGGUGUAUUGCAAAACCAAAUCAAAAUCCCUGUGUUUUCCUAUCUGCUUUUUUCUGAUCUGUGUGAAGAUUUUGCAUGCUUAUUUUUCAACAAGGAUUAGGAAAGGUAUCUCUCAUAGUUUUCUGAAUCACUAAUCAGUAGGACUCCUUUUGUAGGAAGUUCUGAAGGUAAAAAUGAUUCAGAUUUUUUACAUGACCCCUUGAGAAUUUCUACACCAUCUCUAGAUCAAAAAGCUUUCUAGGCCAAUAGAGCUGAACACAAUAUUUUCUCUAUGCUUACUAUAUUGUGAAUAUUUUGCACAAGUGCUGUGUUGUUUACUACUUGUUUUGCUCCCUAAGGAAUGCAAGAGACAUUUUUCACCCAGAUAUGAAAAUUACCUCUUCUUUUCUGCUUCAAUUGGAAAAUUAAUAGUGAAUUUGCAAAGAGAUGCUAGAAAAGAGUUCAAAGGUUCUACAGCAAGAAGAACCCCACAAGCCUGCAGAAUAGAACCCCAUAGGUAAACAAAUUGAAUCUUUUGAACAUAAUUAGAUUUGUAGUCAUGUGUAAUAUCAGGAACGGAAAAAACCGGAAUUAAAACUCAAAGAAAACUAGAAUUGACUUUGUGAGGGAAAAGAAAAGAAAUGAAUAAGAGCAAAGAUCCAACAUUUGAAUACAUCAGAUACCUGAGUGAAUGCUUGAUAUCCCUUCAAUAUUUCCAACACAAUAGCCUCUCCUUGUGACCUUCACACAUAACUCACAUGUCAGAUACACAUUGUUUUUAUCUAAUUCUUUAAGUACAUCAUCUUCCAAAAGAAUAAUUCAACGAACCUCGACAAGAUAAGGGACAAAGCAUCAAGAAUGGUCAACCACAAUGAAUCAACCAUUGCAAUACAAAGAACAGCAGUUUUCCCAGUAAAUUUUGCUGCAGUAUCAUACUCAUAUCUGGGAGAUUCAAGCUGGUAGUACCAAGAGAGAAUAAAAUCUCUUUUUAUAUUCUUCUUCUAGGAAGGGGGGAGAGGGUAAUAUAACAAAAGAAAAUGUUACCUCGCCAGCAUCAACUGCUUCAUCUGUUAAUGUAGCUACAGUAAAUACGACACCCAACAGUCCUUCAACUGCCAAAGUUAUUGCAUGGGCUUCACUAGCAACCACGACGGCAGCGUUGGAUGCAUCAUUAUCCAGACUCCAUUCAAUUCCUGCAGGGUAAGAACUGUAAUCUUCCUGAGAAACAAGAACUGCAAUAAACAAUAACUGAAUUUUGUGACUCAAAGAAAAGCCAAAUGAACCAUUUUCAUUGUGUAUGCCUACUCAUAUUGAGUCCAAAAUAAUAAAAUAUAUUGGAAUUUUUAUAAACCACAGCUCUUGAAUCACCAAAAUGGGGGUAAGGAUAAAAAUGCCACCAGUAGAAACAACUAAAAUGAUCCCUUCCAAGCAUCCCUAAAAUGUUAAAAUUCAGUGAACUAUGUUAAAUACAUAAUUAAAGGUAAAGUUUUUCAAGAUCAUUUCUACAAUUCAUAAUAUAUAUAUAUAUAUAUAUAUAUACAUAUAUAUAUAUAUAUUUAUACCCAAUUUUUGGUACUUUUUUUUUUGUUUAAUGGUGAGUACCAUCAUGCAUCUAUAUCACAUUUAAAAAAAAAUAGACAAAAAAUAAAUAUUGAAUGCAUCAAACAAAUGAAAGCUUUCUUUACGCCAUUUAAAGAUUACACCUUGACCAUGCAGGGGAGUUGUCUAAAUCUAUGAGCAACCUAGUUUACUUAAAAUUUCUGCUUCUAUAUUUCAAAAAGAACCAAACAAUACAUCAUUUCUUUAUUUGUUUAAUUCAUUAAGCACUAAAUUUUCAGGCUCUUCCUAGAAGAAUAUAAUUCUGCAUGUACAACAGAUAAUCAAAUUAAGAGCAGGUUGAACGUUUAUGUUUUACUUUGAAUGUCAAAUGAUCUUUUGCUAUCUAUAAUACUGGAAUUACAAUGCAGCUCCGUGAAACUACAUAAUGUUGCAACAAGAUUGGAAAGUUGCUACAACUUCUAUGAAUUCAGAUAACUUUUACCUUUAGCCUUGCUGCUAAACAUCCCUGCAACAGCUGCCAAGCUCUCCUCACUUGUUUCCUGAACCUAACAUGUUAAAAUCCUAUGUUAACAAUAAAUUCAAGUUAUGCACAGGAUAUCCAAUAUAUAUCACAAACUUUCAAUAUCAUCUAAUGAAAUAUACUACUUACAAACGUUCAACCACAAUGAACAAAAACUGAAAACAUAAUAUAUGGUGAAGGAAAAUGCAGCAGGAGUUAGAAAUAGAGGGCUCAAAACUGCAUCAAAACACCUAAAAAGGACACCAAAAAGAAGCCUGGAUGAUAUAAUUAAAGUAGUAGCUCAAUCUUUAAUAUAAUUCAACAAAGCCUUAGUCUCAAAUUAGAUGGUAAUCAAUUAAAAGAUAUCUAAGAAAAACUAAGUAUUUUACCCACAACAUUCAAACAUGAGACUUCUUAGCACACGACCUCUUCCUCGCGCCUCUUUCAAUUACACUAUGUUGGGAAAAGUGGAAAAAUAAAUAUUUUUGUAAAGGAAAGAAACUAAGGAGACAGAGGCAUACUCUAGCUUUUGAAAGAGAGCAAAAAUGAAAACAAGGGAAAUAAAAACAAAAUUUUCCACCAUUUCUCGAUUUCUUCAAUUAGGAGAAAAGAGAUUGAAAAUGGUUAUACUCCACAAAAGUUACUCAUUUGCCAAGGAAAAUACAAUAUUAGGAUAAAUUUCACAACAAUUAUUUGGUACCCUUCCAUCCUCUUCACUUUCCUCCCAUCCGAACAAUAGAAGAGAAUAUUUUCUUGUCUACAAAUGACAACUUUCUUUUAUCUACCUUGAUUCCUGAAACAAGCAAGAGAGGCAAGAAGUCCUAUAUCUGGAAACUUAAUUUUUGGCAAUCGACAUGAAACAUCAGACAUGCCCCAAACCAUAAACUAACAUCAAAGCAGAGAAAAUAAACACUUGAGAGUUGAGCCUCGAACCCAUGAAAAGCCAGCAAACAGCCAACUAGUUAAAAAGAAGCCAAAUGCAACAUUAGAGAGGGAAGCAAUGAAUACAUUGUUGGAUAAAAGGUAAAUACUAAAACAACCUAGUUCACAGCCAAAGUUUCAUAAGAUCAGGGGAAAUUUGUUAAUUUUUUUAGGGCCCACAUGCAGCUGCUGAUAGCAGAAGCGGUCAUGAUGAACUUUGCAACUGCAGCAAUCAAAAAUCCCAGUAGAUGAAAGUCCAAUACUGGAGAGUUCAACUUACAGAAUUACAAAGCACAAAGACCAUGAACCAUCACUUAAGACAAAGCAUAUAGAAAAAAAACAACCUCCACAACAAAUCACACCAAUCUCCCCCAAGAUACAAACAGUUCAGCAUGAAACAGAAAAUAAAAGCAUUUAACUGACAUUAGGCCCUUAACUACAAAUUAGCGAUAUAGUUGAGGCGAACUAAUAGGAGAUGAUCAUAAGCCAGAAACAGUUGAAACAUUUCACCUGUAAAUUUGAAACAACACGAGCAAGAGCUUUAACCAUACCCUCCACAACAUUUGUGUUCUUAGGAUGCCUACAAGAGCAAGCAAAUCCAAUUGUUACACAUGAAAAUAGAACUAAAAAAUAGAUUUCUCUCAAUGGAAGAAUGGCCAUGGGGUAAGAAAAUGAAAGAACAGAGUUAUCAGAAAAGACAAAAGAAAAAACGGACUUUCUUCAUACAUAUGGGAUUUGACAUGACAUAUAAAAUAAGAGAGAUAAAUUUAUUCCUUUUUGGCAUACAAGGAUUUCUGAAAGCAAUAUUUUUUGUACUUUUCCUAAGAUUGUUCUUAGGGCCUCCAUCUUUUUUUUUUUUUUUUUUGGGCUCUCGGAAGAUACAUGCACAAGCGCACAGAGACAACAUCUCAUAAGUAGUUAUUUUGCUAUAAUGGUGAUCUUCAAUGCUCUCUGGAUGUGCAUGUACAAGUGCGCACAACAUCACAUAAGUAGUUGUUUGCCAUAAUGGUCAUUUAAAUAGGUGAAUCUUCAACAGCAGCCCGAAGUUUUUCCACACUGACCAUUGUGCUUGUACUCAACAUGGUAAUUCUGCAAUAAUUUCAUCAAACUCAAUGUGUGUGCGUGUAGAAGGGCACAAAGUCCUCUUCCAACCCAAGCACACACAACAGAACACUUAAUUCAAAUAAAUAAUUUAUUUUGCUAUGUUAGUUAUUUAAAUAAACCAUUCUUCAACAGCAACCUAGCUCAUUUCUCUCUAACACAUAUAUGCUUGUAAUGUAUUUUCACUUUUAUAAUGACUUCAUGUCUUCAUCAAACACUUGUAGUUCAUACAAAAGCUCAGUCUUUGGUAGUAAUCACAUCAAAUGUGUCUAUUACUGCACUGUCUUCUUAUUUUAUGUUAUUUCUUAUUAGCCCCUUCGGAACAUGAAUAUGACAUCCACAUAUAUGAGAAGUGAGACAGAGGGUGCUAGAAAGAGAGAGACGAAGUGGGGAAUAUAUUUGAUAAAGUAUUCACAACAUGGAGAACAAAAUGAAAGAUGCAGAAUAAUAAAGCUAGUGCUUACAUAUCAAAGUUCUGGAAGAGAAUGCGUAAAGUCCGAGCCUCCACACAAAAACCCUGUCAAAUUGAACAUCUAGAAUCUCAAUAAAUUUCAUAAGAAGUGUAGAUAAAAAAAAAAAAAAAAAUAGUAAUGCCACAACUGAUGCUGGAGAGAUUACCCUUAAGAUCUCAAGCACCAGAAUACGAUGCCAUAAUGGCAGAUCAAGAAAAGUAACCUUCACAAGCAUGCUAAGGAACACCUGCGUCCAGGGGUAGAAUAUCUUAUUGGGUAUACAGACUUUACUUUCAUAUCGUGCAAAAACUUAAUGAAAACAAUAUAAAUACACAUGGCUAGACUUAUAAAAGCAGUUUGAGAGAUAUAACUUGAUCCCAACCAUUUUACACAGUUGUGAGAAAAAAAAUGAGUGCAAGUAUGAAAUAACAAAGUGAAGCUGUCCAUGAAGUAAAAGGGACCAGGACAGACCAUGAUGUUGAAAAACUGUGUUGGAAAAAAUUCAUAAAUUCGGCCAAACUGAAUGUAGAUCUGUUAAAGAGAUUAAAACUUUGACAAAAGCAUUACAUUAAAAAUGCUAGCCACAUGUCAUUAGCAUUUGCUUUUAAGUUGAAUCAUAUAUUCUAGUCAUAAAAACUUCAAAACUGUUAAGCAACAUUCCCACACUGCUUUCACCAAGAGUGUCUAAAAUGGUGCUUUUCUAGGAACGCAGUUUCAACCUCAAAAAUCAAAAUAAUCCAUGAAACUUUCAAAACCCCACUAACCAUUCUACCUUUACACCACUCUCAAUACUCUGAGUAUUCCUCUUCCUCCCUUAAUUUCCAUGGGAGAGUCCUUUAAUCACCUCUUCUUUCUUUUAAAGCUUUGGUUAUUUGUUUCUCACUAUCAAUGAUAAUGCCUAGGUAAAAAAAAAAAGAAGCACUACUUGAGUCAAAAAUUGGCUCUAUCACACAAUACAGUUCCCAUUAGGUAAUAAAUGGCUAGAAAGGAGAAAUCCAUGCUCUCUAUCAAAUCCUGAAAAAGUACAAGUAAAGAGAAAGAGCAUAAGAUAGUUCCAUUCUCACCUCAUGGUUUUUUUCAUUUAAGGUUAUUAAUGAUUCAUAAUACCAAAUCAUGCAAUUGGUAAUGCAAGUAAAUACGGGUGCAACAUUUUAUGGUAACUUCAAUGAAUUAUUUAUUUAUGGACCAUAUUAGGAUAUAUGAUGAAACAACUUUGAUUACUUGAGAUUAGAAUGCAGAUCCAAUUUAAUACAGUUUUCCAUGCAGCAAAUUUAAUAAAAACUACAAGAAGAAAGAUGCAUUAGAAUAAUAAUAAUCAGAAAUCAGUUUGGCUUCUAAAAAUUUUCAUAAAUAUAACAUUUCAAGGAUAGGGUUAUUAUAACAGUUGAACAAACCUCACACUCAGUAAUAAGGGAUGAACUGUAUAGCCUGAUAAUAUGUGCAACUGAUCGCAAGACCAACCGGCGAAAAGACGGUUCUCCAGCUUCUCCUUCAAUCUGUAUCAAAAUUGUAAGGUAAAAAAUGUGUGCUAUAGAAGUCAUCAUGGCACAAUACUACAAGCACUACACAGAUAAAAGAUGCACUCCAAUCAUUUCAAAAAGAGAAGCUACCUCAGCAUUGAUACGAAGUGAAGUCAUCAAAAGUGAACAUAUCUGGUGACGCAUAACCUGUCAAGUUUCCAUGCAAACUUUACAACUAAAAAAGUUCUGAUAGCAUACUCAAACAAAAAACUUAGAAAUAUUCUUAGAGAAGAUAUUCUUAGUAUUACCUGUUCGUAAGGACUCAAGGUCUUGAAAAUAACAACAUAAUUUGACAGGAUGAACCUGCAAAUGGAAACUUUCAGCAAAACAAAUGACAAAUUUAUUUAUAUUGCCGAACAUCAUAGUUCUCGUUGAACAGAAAAAUCUUCAAAACUUGUUAUCUUUAUACUUAUAGUCAUAAGAGCACAAGACUCAUUCCAGAAAAAUAGCCUUCAGUAAAGACCCAAUAGAGGUCAAAUGAAAUAAUCAUGAUCCCAUGACUAUCAAUAAGUUCCAAACAGACUAUCCUAACAUUAUACCUGAAAACAUGACGGAAAACUACUUUCUAUUAGUUCUACAUAUGUUUUUAAUCAACAGCACAAGCUUUAAUAUCAAAAUCUUACAGAUGACUAUUACUAUUCAUGAGGUGCUUUUUGCUAUCAGGUAAUCCUCUGGACCACUUUAACAAGGAUGCUAUAUGUAAAUAAUUCAGCCCAAACUACUAGAACAAUUUGCAAAAUAUAAUCUAUAUUCUCUCAAUGCCAUGAAAACUUGAUGGCAAGAACUCUUGUUUGUAAUUGGAACUCCUCGCAAGAUAUCAUCUCAUUAAGCACAGCAUCAAUAAUUUCCAAGCACUCGUAUCACCUCAAUGACUUCACAAGACAAACCAUGAGAAUCUCACUACUUGAGAAGAGCAGUUUUUAAGUUACCUUGGAGGAUCUCAUUUUAUAUAAAAAAACAUAUAGAAAAAUAAUAUAAUACUUUGUGCUGCGUUCCAAAGCCAAGGUUUUAAACAUUAAAAUAAUAUAUUCAACUUCAAAUAUUAGAAACCAAGAUAGAUUUUACUCAAACAUUUCAAACCAAGAUAGAAUAUAGUCAUUGAAAUAAAUGUUGUCAUGCCAACCACUUCGAAAACCUAAUAGUCAUUAAGAAUGAUGUAGGAGAGGUGGUCAAAUUUUCAAAUGCUAGGUAUAGGUGAUUACAUCUUUUUUUUUUAAAAUAUUCAAGGAGCUACAUUUGAGCAAUAAAUCAACAUGACUGCAGAUAACAAUAAAAUAUAAAAUUGCAUGCACAUUUGAAACAAAGACAAACAAAUACAAAAUAGUGGGGGCCAAGGGCAUCUAUCUUACUCAAGUAUAUCAAGGACAAAUAUCCGUUGAAGGGAACUGACACGUAACCAAAUUGCCUGUGAGAUGAGGAAAAUUUUUGUUAAAAACAAAUGAUAUAAUUUGACACUCUCAAGCAAUUCCUAAGACAUACACUAAUAAAGAACAGACAAAUAAGCUGGUUCCACAAGAUAUCUAAUAGUUUCAAAUAGCACAUACAGAUCCACCUGCAGCGAGAGCUGUCAGGUCUUCGAGUAAACGAAGCGCAAGCUUUCCAGCAUUUGUUAGGAUCUCCCUCAUCAAUGAUUUCUCUCCAGAAGCAGGUUCAUGCCCCAACGACCUGUUCAUUCUUGCGUUAGAUGUAUGGAUAUGCCACGUAGGUUACAUGUUGAAAGCUAAUUCAAAUGAAAAGACUAGUCUCCUUGGGAUGCAUGACCCACUCCAUCCUAAAAAAUUUGUGGAGCAGUCUGCAGAUUCAAAUUCACAAACUGGUUGAAAAGAUAUACCCACCAGCAGACGCAUUCACAUACGUAUAUCUAUAGAAUGUGUAGGGAUCCAUGUACAUAUAUUGCAUUUGCAAUGUAUAAACUAGAAUCUAACAGAACACACGAAUUAGAAUGCUUGAUUCACAUAUGGUUUCCAUGAUGGUUCACAUACGCUGAAUAAUUGAUGCUGCGACUAACAUCACCAGUAACUGAGCUGGAUCGAGAAAUAUGACCUCCAGAACCAAAUUUUUUUGCAGGAAGAGACUCUGCAUGAACCACAUGAUCAAAAAUCAAAGCUACUGCCUGUCUGAAGGUAGCUGCAGCAGUGCUAGAAAUGGCAACAGAAAAGAGCACGUAAGCAGAAGGUCAAUAAACGUUUAAUUCUGUUUUGGUAAAAUUUGAACUUAUUAACUUACUUCCGCACACUGUCAGAGGAUCUGUUGUUUUCAAGAAGCUGAAGACAUAUAUGAAGGGCUUGAGCCAUAUUUUCCUGAGAAAAAGAGCAAUUCAGGGACAUACACUUCUAACACCCGCUAAUACCAACCACAACCAAGGCAAUAAAAAUAAAAAAUUAAAAGAAACACACACUAUUUGGUUACAUCAAGUCUAUGUUUAGCGAUCUGUAAUCUUUUCUUUGCAAAUCCUCUGUGUAAACAACGGACAAGAUAAACAUGUCCACCAUUAAAUUGAAGAUAUGUGCUUAGCAUUAAGAUAUUUUCAGCCAAAUCGAUGAACUUUGUUGACUCGGGAAAAUGCAAACCUAGUACGAUUUUAGCAAAAAUAAAUUUGUCACAAAAUUGUCUAACAACCCAUAUAUAUUUUAUCAGAUGAAAGCUUGUAACCAGAUUUAAAAUACUAUAUAGCAUUUCCUUUCUUAAACUGGAUAUCAAUUUCCAUUCAAUGACAAAGCAUCAGAUCAUAAUAUGCAACUACAAUUUCGCCAUAUCCCCUUUUUGUUUUGAGAUUAAGAUUUUAUUACUAUACCAUUCUCAUUUAUAUUCUACUGGAACUGUUGAAGUCAUCAGGUAUUAUCUCACAUCUGAUACACCUGAGUCCAAAAGCUUCCAAAAUUGUUUCCUAUCUGACUCCUAGUUAUCACAAAACAGAGAAGGAUAUGCACCUAUAAUCAUACAUUUACAGAAUGCUAAUAAAUAUAUGAUAACCAAAAAACAAAAAAAAAUAUAUCAGCUUAUAAACAGCCUCUAUACGUAGCAGGCACAAAACAAGAGGGUAAGGCAAGUUCAAUUCAUCCUUCUUCUGUUUUGUCCAAUAAAGUUGAAAGUCUUAUGUCGAUAAUGGCUGACACGGCAGCAGUUAUUUAUGUUCAUUUAGAGUAUUUCAACCUAACAUGUAACAAAAACACAGAUCAGUUUAACAACUUAUAUUUUCCACUUUAAAAUCUAUAGUUUUUGACAGAGUUUCAAAAUAUAGCACAUCCAUCAAUGUGUUUCCUAAAUAGUAUUAUCAAAUCUCCUAUAAUCCAUAGCUCAUUGAUUCUCAGUUCAAUAUCUAACAAAAAUAUAUAAACACAGCAGAAUCAUAAUAUUUUGAAACAUAUUUUACAUACAUCAUUCACAACAUUUUUUUAAAUAAUUCACUACAGUUGAAAUCCAGCUAUACAUCUCAUUCUGGGAAUAACACAUUCUGCACACCCACCGAGGAGACAAAACCAAAUAACUGAUGUUACCUCAUUCUCCGGAUGUAAUCGUGACUGAAAUAUUAUUAAUAUGGUCUGUAAGGUCUUCAGUUGAACACUCUCAUCUCCCAUUUCAGCAUGCUGCAUGGAAGGGAAAAUGACACAAAAGAUUCUGUAAAUUAUCUAAUUGCUUAAUAAGAGAAUAAAAUGAUCUUACAUAAUUGAAUUCAAAUGUUUCUGCCCAAAAAUGAGAAGAAAAUAAUCUAACUACAUCACCAAAAAUGUCUACAUAGAGAACAUAUCCUAACCUAUACUUACUUGAAAUGAAUGUGUGCUUACAAUAACUAUUCAAAUGCAGUAGGAAUUAUGUAAAUUUAUCUUUUUCAUAUUGUUGGGAGAUGUAAGCAAUAAUUUUGUCCCACUAACCAAUUGGAAACAAUGGAAAACCAUUUAAAAGAAAAGAUUUCAAAUCAUAGAUAGCCCUUCAUGAGGAAGAUUAGUGAAACAAAAGUGUGGUAACAAACCAAAAACCAAUUAGAGACCAGAAUAAAAGUCAUCCGAUUCAUUCCAUGGUUUGCAAAAAAACAGAAUGUCCGACAGAACAGUUCAUAUGAACUGAAAGAGAUCCCCAAGUCGUGUGGGGAACUGCAAGAGGAAAAGUUGAAUUAAAAACAGAAAAUAAGUUCUGCCUCUUCAUAAUACUGGUUUUCUUUCUUCCAUGGAAAAAAAAAAAAAAAAAAAAAAAAAAAAAGUUCUGCCCUCUUCUUUUUCACAAUGAUUUUUUUUUUUAGUUUAUCCAUACUAUGAAUAUAACAAAUUCAUUUUAAUCAUCAAGCAAUAAAGAAACAUCAAGCUUUUGGCACCCCACAGAACAAGCAAUAAAAGCCAUAAAGUUAAGUAUUUGCUAAAUUCAAUUUGAAGUAGAAAUCACCACAUCUGAGAAGUCAAAUACAAAUUCAGACACAAACUUACAUCUUUCAAAGUAGAAAGGAUCUCCUUUAGAGCUGAUGGAGCAACUGUAUCAUGGGAUAUAAGCUUUUGUAAGCAUGAAAGUCCAAUUACACUCAGCUUGAUAUUUCUGACCUCACAAGCCAUCAAAAAGAUCCGUAGAAUGUCCUCAUUAUGUGCAAUCUCACUAGGACUUGAUAGUGAACGAAGCUGCAAAGGCCAUGACAAUAAAUUCAUAAUCUCAAAUUUUAGCUGCCGUAUCAAUGGCCAUAUAGAUUAAAAGGAAUUGCAAAAAAAUGAUUGGAGAAUAAAAUUUCAGUUUUUGCAUAUUUUUGGUCAGUCACAAUGCUGAAGCCAAUAGCACGUUAAAUAAUUCCAGCAACUCGAACUCCAGUUCAUUUUGCAGAAUUUUUCAAAUUCUACAGUUAAUUGGAAUACCUACUAAAGCUAAAUUUCCAUACAACACAGUCUGAAAACCUAUUUAAAUUAAUUAAAUCCACUUCUGAAAAUAAAAUUGAUAAUAGCAUUCAGAAUUCGCUACUCUUCUAUCUCCCGUAUUUUUCAGUACAAAGGUUUAGUUCUACGUGUUACGCACUCAACUGAUUAAGCGGCAGUUAAGCUGCGUGUAGCUAAUCCAUUAAGCCCCUUCCUGAUUCUCCAUCUUCCUUACUCCUCAGUAACCAAAUGCACAAGCAAUAACAACUUUCCUAUUCAACAAAGUCAGCCUGAUCCACCAAACACUUCGAAAGUAGCUACACUAGACACCAAUAGAUAAAUAUAUACAACUAUCAAGCGGCAUUUAUCAAACAAAAGAAAAGCACAAUUAGCACCUCAUAUUAUAAAUAUGCACAUUUGGAGAGUGCACGUGUACACACUAUAAUUACAAAUAAGUGAGAUUAAAGGCGCGCGAAUUUGGACUCUAACCUUUAAAAUGGCAUGCUCUGCGCCGUCUUUGACUGCUGGAUACCGCCGGCGCGCUUCAGCAGACAAGGCGCGAAGAUCGGAUUCUAAGACCGCCAUGAAAGCCAUGGCUGAGGCUCCGUUAGCUUGAGUUCAACAAAUGCAACGAGGAAUUUCUGGGGUUCCUGUACAGAUAAAAUGCUACUAGUAGAAAUCGAGAGAGAGAAGGAGGGAAAGGAAAUUGAGAUCGAUCAGCCUGACCAACGGGAAAUGAAACAAGCUACUAACAGAUCUUGAAGAUCCAUUUUUCUUUUUUUUUUUUUUUCUUUUUUGUUCGUUUUUUAUUUGCCAUUUUAUAUGUGUAAAGAAACCGCUUAGCUCGACUUAGCUAAGUGGGCUGAUUAAGGGUCCACAAGGCCUAGGCCCAUUAAACUAAAGAACAAAGAUACUCGCGCUUCGUCCGUGAAGUUUGAAAGAUUUUGCCUCCCCCGGUAAACGACAGGCCGGCUUUAUUUCUGUCGUCUACAUAACAAUUUACUGAGGUAAAUGUCGUGUAAAUGUCUGUGGCUGUGCACUGAUGGAGAAAGUCAUUUGUCCAUUAAUUUUAAAGGAUUGGUCGUUCCUCUAAAAACGUCUGUCGUCUACGUCUAAUACAGGUGUAUGGCGCAAAAAUCAGACAUUCUUCCACAAGAAUCGGAGGUUUUCCAAAAAAAGAAAUCACUUUCUUCGAUAUAUAUAAUAAUCAAUUCAAAAGCAAAUAAGAAUUUAACUCAAAAGAAUCUAUACUGUGAGGGUCUUAAUGAUAUUGUUUCCAAUAUACAAUAUUAGUUUGUUCUUUUAAAGAUAGAAUUAGAACAUUAGAUGUACAUAUAAAGAGGGAAAAUUUUUUGAUAGAAAAUUAAUUAAAAUGACAAAAAAAAGAAUCAUGAAAUGGUUAAUUUUAUGCUUUUUGAUAUUGCAGAUGGUUCAAAUAGCAAAAGCUUCAACUUGUCUUCAUCGAUGCCAAGAUGACUGCGACCACGGGAAUUACCCAUUUUUUUGCAAGAUCCUUUGCCCUCCAUAUUGUGCAACUCACCUUGAACAUGGUAAUAUUAAUAUGAUGAUUAAGGAUUAUUAACGAUUUAAACAUGUAUUAAUAUACGUAAAUAUGUGUUUUUAUUUUCUUACUUUCUGCAACACCUUCCUUAAUAUGCAGUUAGAGACACCAACGAAACCAAAGUGUAAUGGCAGCAUUUAUGCAUGGACUUCUUCGUAGGAAAUAAUGGGGAUCGCCAUGUUUAGGCUCAUCCUCUCCUUUUCUUUUUGUUUGUCUUUUCUUUCCUUUUUUUUUUUUAAAUAGCAAUUGGUUUUUGUUUUGAUAGAUGUAAGAAUAUUGUAGAACAAGAUAUUUUUCUGUUAUUGUUCCUUCUUGUUUUGUUUAGACUUUUCCACAAAGAAGAAAAAAGGCUAGUUACAAGCACCAUACCCCUCAUAUUCUCUCAUAAUUUUCUGAAGAAGCCAAAUAAUAAAUUUUGACUUUUUCUUAUUAUAAAAUAACAAACCAACAAGCAAGCAGAAUAAUAAGAAAAAGGCAAUUUGGAGCGAUAUUUCUUUUAUAAUCCCAUAAUCAAUUAUCAAAUGUCAUGUUUUCCAUUUCAUGCCUGAUGGAAUCAAAAAGCUUGGAAGACAGAUAACGUUCUACUGAACUGGGAAAUAUUACCUGCACAAUUAGCAAGCAAAUGAAAUUAAUAGCAUAUAUAUAUAUAUAUAUAUAUACAUACAGUAUUUAGGCUAAGCAGAUUCUUCUAUGCUGCUUCGAUAAAUGGAACUUACAGCAAAGAGUUUCCCAGCAUUUUCCGGUCUCUUUGCCAAUUUUAUUGCAGCAGCAGCUGCAGCACCAGAAGAUAUUCCAACCUGUGCAGAGGAAAUUAGGGAAGAGAAAAUUCAAUAAAUUUUUUUCACAAGUUGGGAAGGUUAAGGGCUCAUCGCAAUAGCAAUGAACAUACCAGCAGACCUUCCUUUGAAGCAAGCAGCUUAGCAGUUUCAAUAGCUUCCUCACUUGAUAUCUGUAGAAAGUAACACCAGCAUCAUCGCUAAAAACUAAGUAAAUGAUAAUCUUUAUAUAUAUAUAUAUCAAAUAAUUGAAGACUUACUUGAACAACUUCAUCCAUGAUAUCAAUAUCCAUAACACUAGCGACGAUAUCAGAGCCAAUUCCAACGAUCAGAUGUGGGCCUUUUGUAUUUGCAGCAGCAAAUUGUCAAAGAAAAAAAUAGUCAUAAUGAGAAAUCUGAAGUAGAGUAUAUUUAUAAUUACGAAGUAGGUAAAAUGGGAGCUCAUUACUAAUUUCUUAUAGCAUUAUCAAGUUUUAUCAAUAAGAAUCUUUUUAUUGUGCUUAUCCGAUCCACGAUCAAACUUCAUUGAUCCUAGAUCAAUUGAGAAUUCUUUUGCAAGAACUCAAAUGCAAAAUAGAGAAGACAGGAAAAAGAAUUCAUCACUAACCGCGUGUUACUCCACUUAUCAUUGCAUUCUCAGAUGGCUCAACACCAUAAACCUAGGAAUCAAUAAAUGAAAGCUAAUUACAUUUAAAACCUAAUAUUAUCCCCCCCCCCCCCCCCCCAAAAAAAAAAAAAAAAAAAAAAAAAAAAAUCCAUUCUAAACACACAAAACGGACAAAAUACAUCUUUGGGUUUUUCUCCUUAAGAAAUCUUCCAGCUCCACCUAUGGUACCACCAGUCCCAACUCCUGCAACUAAGGCAUCAACUUUUCCUUCAGAGUCUCUCCAUAUUUCUGGACCAGUGGUUUCAUAAUGAAUCUACACAAGGAACACCAAAAUUACUCGCAAAAUCCUCUUGAUUUUCAAUCCACGGCAACUAAGAAAUACCUGUGGAUUGGCAGGAUUAUCGAAUUGGUUAAGAAUGUACCCAUUAGGUGUUUUACUAAGUAUUUCCUCUGCCUUAUGAACUGCCCCUUUAAACCCUUUUGGUUGGAUCAGUAAGGCAAACCUCAGCUCCAAGAGCUCUCAACACAAUUUUUUUUUCAAGAGUCAUUGAAGUAGGCAUUACUAUUGUAGCUUUGUAACCCUUUCUUGCAGCAACUGCUGCUAUUCCAAUGCUAGUAUAACCACCAGUAGCUUCGAUGAGGAUUGUCUUUAGCCAAUGGUGCAAUUGUUUAGAACUUUGAAUGUUUCACUCAUUUAGUCGAAAUUUUAACUAGGAUUGUAAAAGAAGAAUUCAAGAGCAAAGACUGACCUUUCCUGGUGUAAUCAAGCCCUUGUCUUCUGCAUCUCUGAUCAUACUAUAUCCAAUUCUGCUCACCAAAAAUCAGUUCAAUGUAUUAAAUACAAAACAAAAACAUAAAUUCAUAAAGAAACUGAAUAAAAUGAUAAACGAAGUAUGCCUGUCUUUAACACUAAAAGCAGAUGUCACCAUUUCAAGCUUGGCAGCUAUUCGAGCCGCACAACCAUCCACAAUAUUUUUGAGGUACACCAUUGGAGUAUUGCCUAUUAACUGCCCUCAAUCAAACAGGAAAAAGAAAAGGAAGAAAGAAAGGAACAAGAUUGCAGAAAUGAGUAUGUUAAGAUGGAUAUCUGUUCACAAUAUUAGACACUAUUAGAAAUUAUUACAGUCGAUAAAAAGGUGCAAGUAUCACAAGUUAGGGACAAAAUAAGUGAAGGACAUCUGAGAUAUUUUGGUCAUAUCCUACGUAGACUCCAUCUGCUCCAGUUCGUAAGUGUGAUAUAUUGAUGGUAGAGGUUACUACAAGGGGAAGACAUAGACCUAAAACUACAAGGAAUAAGGUUAUAUCAAAAGAUCUAAUAUUUCUGACAUUAGUACUAACUUAGUUAUGAACAAAGUGAAAUGAAAACAAAAGAUUCAUGCAGCCAAACUCAACUAGUUUGGGACUAAAGUAGUUGUUGUUGUAGUCUGCAAUGAAGAAGGUAUAAACUAAAAAUUACUUUAGCCCAUUUUUCUUGAAAAUAGAAUGAUUCAAUAUCAACAAAAACUUUUCAGUACCUCAGAGCAACUAAUCGAUUUACUUGUAUGUGCUUCUGUUUAUGCAUAAAGAGAGAAGAGGCAUAUCCACGCCAGGUAAUAUCUAUAUCAGAUUACUGUUAUUUUAGCCCAUUUUGGCUUCAACUUCAAGAUUAUGGCUUCAACUUCUUACCUUACUUUACUAUUUGAGUGACUGCAAUAACAGUAAUCUCAUUCCCAUUCCCAUUUACCAUAUUUGACUGCACAUUGAGCUAUGAUAAGCUGGAUUAUGUUGCCAUUAUAUAUGUUUUAUCUUAUAAUAAUAAUUAUUUAUAUCUUCAUUAUCCUGUCUGAAGAAUCUUUUUAUAUUAUAUAAUAGAGGCCAUUCUUAUCCUGCACUAUAAUGUCUCAAAUAUUCAAUUAUAAUAAUUUAUUUUUGGAACUUCCAAUAUACUACCCAAUAAAUGGCCGCAUAACCAAUGGUUUCACAGCAAUUCUGGUUAUUUUCUUUUUAUCAACAAAUUUUAUUUCUUAGAAUAUAAGUAUAGGUGCACAGUAUUUGAGAAUUCUUGGUAUGCAUCGCAAAUUUUAAAUAUAUUAUAUUUUGCCCCUCCAAUCGUUCAAGUCUAUUUUUUCACCUCCAGAAACAUAUGCCUGCCUACCAAAACAACCUUUGUACCUACCAAUAUAAGGUGUCUGGUGUUUUCUCUUUUCAUUUAUUUUUAUCCCUGAGUAGUACAAACCAUGAAUCAUUUCCAUUUGAGAAGAAAAAAAAAAAAAAAAAGAAAGAUUAGGAUCCUGUUAACAUAAAGAAAGCAAAUAUAGUUUAACCCAUGUUUCUGGAUGCUGAUUUUGGUUUUAACCAAUCCUAUCACAGUUCCUGAUAUGUAUAUAUAUUAAAAAAAAAAAAAAAAAAAAAAAAAAAAAAAAAAAAAAAAAAAAAGAAGAGUAUAAAAUAUUAAUCCAAAACUGAACCUUACCGUUCCCUCGCCCGUUGAACUAAAAUUUAGCAAGGCAAAUUUCUUUUUAUUAUUCAGUUUUCUGCUUCAUCGCUUCCAGGGAAGUCAAAUAGCAAUCUGUUUAGUUCAGAGCUUGGAGAAAAAGACAGUUUGCUCUGCUGCCUAUGUAACAGUUUCAGUUAAGCCUUUACAUAAAAAAAUAAAAAAAAAAAAAAAAAAAAAAACCUGAUAUUGAAGUACAUGGGAGUAGUACAUGAGUUACAAUCUUUAGGAAAUGGAACAUGAAGAACAAAAAGAAAAAAUUGAAACUUUGUGAAUUAUUUCCCAAUUGAAGCAAAUAAGUAAUAUCUCAAACAAAAGUCAAGUUUUCCACUUCAUGCCUAACUGAAUCGAAAAGCUUUGUAGAUAGGUAACGCUCCCCCAAACUAGGUAAUAUCACCUGGAUGGCAAGCAAAAAGAAAAAGCACAUAAUUUAAUGGAGUGAUAAUGAUAUUAGGCAUUGAGCCAGCAGGUUUUAGCAUUUUAUGCAUGUAUUGGAAAUUGCUGAGAUGGUCCAAAUUAUGCAGUGAAACUUACAACAAAGAGUUUCCCAGUGCUUUCAGGCCGCUUUGCCAACUUAAUUGCAGCUGCUGCUGCAGCUCCAGAAGAUAUACCAACCUGUGAAAGGAAAAAAAAGAGGUUUUAGGGGGCUUCUAAUGGAGGCCUUGAAACUACCUAAUAACAAUAAUACUAGAGUGACCUUCUCAUACCAGUAAACCUUCUUUCAACGCAAGAAGCUUAGCAGUUUCAAUAGCUUCUUCACUUGAUACCUAAAAAUCAAUAAGACCAGCAAAAGAAUUGAAAAUAAUGAUAUCUCCGCUACAAUUUUUACCAGUGCUGUAUGUUUGGCGUGUGCACUUUUCAGUUCGAAAUUCUAACAGAGUCACAAUGCAAGCAAAUAGUAAUUACUUGUCAAGUCAAAGAUAAUCAAUUAAUGCAUAUGAAAAUGGUUUUAGACUUACUUGAAGAACUUCAUCUAGCAAGUCAACAUCCAAAACACUAGGGAUUAUACCAGCACCAAUACCCUGGAUCAGAUGUGGACCUUUGUGCAAUUUUUCAAGAGAGAAAAAUGCAUUAAUGGAAAUAUUACCCAUCUUAAGAGAAAUUAGAUGAAAAACACUUCAGAGAACAUGAGAAAAUCAUUAAGUCUGCAUAAUAAUAUUCAACAAUGCUACUGAACUGAGAAAGAAAAUAGAGACAGAGCUUGAAAAAGCUAAAUAACUCACCAGGAUUUCCUCCAUUUAAGACUGCACUUUCAGCCGGUUCUACACCAUACACCUAUGCAUAAACAAAAGGAAGCACAUAAUUAACAUAAAUGGCUAUAAUUAUGUCUUUCUCUCUUCUUCCUGCCCCCCAAAAAUACAAACCUUGAUCUCUGUGUUUUUCUCCUUGAGGAAUUUCCCAGCUCCAGUCACGGUUCCACCGGUUCCAAUCCCUGCAACCAGGGCAUCAACUUUCCCUCUUGAGUCUCUCCAUAUUUCUGGUCCAGUGGUUUCAUAAUGAAUCUACACAAAAACAACAAGAACUGAUCCAUAUAUUAUUUUUUUUUUUAACCAUGAAUCCACACUCUAAUAUAUUAGACUUGACUGACAAAAAUGAUCAAUACCUGUGGAUUCGCAGGAUUAUCAAAUUGCCUAAGCAUAUACCCAUUAGGUGUCUUACUUAGUAUCUCCUCACACUUCUCGACUACUCCAGCAAAGCCCUUGGUUGGAUCAGUAAGGCAAACCUCAGCUCCAAGAGCACGCAACACGAUUCUUCUUUCAAGACUAUAUGAAGCAGGCAUUAUGAGUAUAAUUUUGUAACCCUUCACUGCAGCAAUCGCAGCCAAUCCAAUGCCUGUGUUACCACUGGUAGGUUCAAUGAGGAUGGUCUUUGGCCAGUUUUUGUGAAAAAGAUCAUGGAAAAUGUAAAAUUGUUAGGCUUAACAUCUUUCCUGCACUUAAUCGAACUUUUUUUUAUUGAAUGAAAAAUAACUGAUGAUAUGGAGAAUGUCUAUAUGACUAACCUUCCUUGGAGUAAUCAAUCCCUUAUCUUCUGCAUCUUUGAUCAUGCUGUACGCAAUUCUGCGGCAAACAAAAAAGAAAAUCCAACAUAUUAAUUCCAAAACAAAGGUUUAAUUAUUGGUAAUUUCAAUAAGAAAAAUAUAUGAACAGAUGGAAAAAGUACUGUACCUGUCUUUAACACUAGAAGUGGGUUCCAUCAUUUCAAGCUUGGCAGCAAUGGUAGCCACACAACCAUCCACGAUCUUAUUGAGAUAUACCAUAGGAGUGUUACCGAUUAACUCCAUCAAGUCCCAAUGAAAAGGAAGAAGAAGAUGACUCACAAGUUAUAAGCAGAGGUACAUUAUUUAAGAUAACAACAGGAACCAUGAAAAUAAGAAGGAAAGUAUACCUGGGUGAUGUCUUUCUUGAUACCACAAUACUCCUCCAUAUCUUUCUAGAUACUCUGCAAGUAGGUAAGCAUUGGGAGGAGAGAGAGAGAGAGAGAGAGAGAGAAAGAGUGCAAUUCUAUGCAAAAAAAUAAUAAAACGAGCUUUCUGGGUUUCCUAUGGCAUAGAUUACAAAUCUCCGAUUCAUGCAUGGAGUCAUCAAAGCAGAUUAAAUAUAAUCUAAUGUAUUUGUUGGCAAAAAUAGCAGAACAGGGCAAUAGCAUAAGAAGUAAUAAUAAUAAAAUAAAAAAUAAAUAUUAAUCAGUUUCCCAGAACGUCAAAAACCCAGUAAAAAAUUCAUUAUCAAGAAUGAAAAAAAGGCAAAAAUAUACAGUAUUAGUACAGUUAUCAUUGCAGAAAUAGCAGUAGCGGCAGUCCAACUGUGUAGAUACUUAAAAAAGGGCAGCAAGAAUUUAUGUAUCAGAGAAAUCUCUGCCUACAAAGCAGACAGACAGACAGAUAUAUAUACAUAUAGAGAGAGAGAGGAGAGAGAGAGACAGAGAUUAUGAACCACAAACCUGAUGAGAUAAUAUUAACUAUCUCCUGUACCUCAAAUUAAUCCAUCCCUUCAUUUCAACAGGUGUUGUUUUAUAUAGGAGGUCUGCGUCUAUCCAUUAAUUCAUUCGAUAGUAACAAUUAAUAAGAAAAAGACAAUUGUUUAGGUCAUCGUUUUAUAUUUUUCUAGUAACUCAAUAAUUUUUUGUUGGCUGUGGAUGUUCUUUGACUUCAGCUCUCUUGAAUUUGGGAUACUAGUCAUGGUGGUGAUUACUCUCUAAACAUAUAAAAAUAAAAUAAUUUCAUUUUCUCCAUUUUUUGUUAUCUAUCUUCAAAAGUGUCUUUCCUCUAAAGCAAGUCUUCAGAUUUGUUCAGUUAGCCAUAACAUUUUAAGUUAUGUGAGUUACGGCUACACAAGCGGUUAAUUACAAAAAAUAUUUUUCAAAUUUGAAUUUGUUCAUUCAAAAUCUGGGAUUUCUAUUUUUAUUUUCAUUUUUUGUCUGUUGUUACUAUUUGCAAGAACAACAGAGUUAAAACAUAUACAAAAAUCCUUAUUAGAAUCAAUAAUUCCAUGCUUAUAUACAAAAUCACAAUGUUUCAGCUACAAAUAGAGCCAAUUUCGGGCUUCUGCUACUAAACAAGCAACUAGUUCCAGGCACAGUCCAGCUCCUCUUCAGAUGUUCAUGCUUGAUUAUUUCCAGGAGUCAAAAGAUAUCAAUCAAAGGUCAUAUUUUGUGCCUCAUGCCUAAGGGACUCAAACAACUUAGAGGACAGAUAUCGCUCCCUGGCACUGGCAAAAACUACCUGCAGAGCAAGCAAGAUACAAAAUGUUAUUAGAAUCAUUAGCAUAUUGGUGUAUCCUCUAGCUUAAGCUUCUAAUUAAAUUAAGUGUCCUCCUUGGAUGAGUCUGAGGGCAGACUCCCAUGCUCGGCCUGCCCAUUAGCAGAAUGUACUGCAUUAGAAGUGAAAGAACCAAUUUAAGGUAAGUGCACUUGCUACAAUAAGUUUGCCUGCAUUUUCUGGUCUUUUGGCCAACUUUAUAGCAGCGGCAGUUACAGCACCAGAUGAUAUUCCAACCUGCAUGGGGAAAAAGAUGUCUAACAUUUUUUCAUCUCAAAUGGAAGAUGCUGAAAUUCGCAUCAAUCUAGUAAUACUAAGCAUACCAGCAACCUUCUCUUGAAGCACGCAGCUUCGCUGGUUCAAUAGCUUCUUCACCUGGAACCUAAAUUGUAACAGCAACACCAUAAAAGUCUGAGUAAAAUAUUCUAAAACAAAACCAUAAGUUAGUUGACCCUUUCACAUUACAAAGAAAUGAAAAGUAUGGAAGCACAGGCAAAUCAUUUCAGUCAAUUAAAAUGCCAAUGGUGAGAUGGUUUUGAAUUUAGCGGAACAACUUCAUCAAGCAUGCCAACAUCCAAAACAUCAGGUAUAACACCAGCACCUAGUCCAUCAAUCAGAUUUUUACCUUUGACAUGCACAGAAAAUAAUUUAUCCAUUUCAGAGAUAAUAUCUAAUGCCCUUGCUCUUUAUUAACGUGUCAUAAGCUAAUAACUGAAGACAUGAAAGCCUACAAGAUCUGUAAUGGCACAAUGCUCUCUAUAUUUUGACUGACUUGGUAACCAAAAAAAAAAAAAAAAAUGGUGUCUUAUGGUUGUAUAUACCAGGAAGAGGCUACCACUCUGUGGUUCUGAACAAUGUCAAGAAAGAAAAAAGAAUGCAAGCAAACUGUGAUUCAGUACUUACCCGGUUUUCCUCCAUUUAAGACUCCACUUUCUGCCGGUUCUACACCAUAAACCCAAACUUCAAUAAGAGAAAAACAUAUAAUAAUUGGAAAUAGAGAACAACAGGUUGUUUAUGCAUGGCAAGUAAAGGACAAAGAGCAUCUUAAUCUCUGGGUUUUUCUCCUUAAGGAAUUUCCCAGCACCAGUUACUCUGCCACCAGUCCCUAUUCCCAUAACCGAGGCAUCAACUUUACCUCCCGAGUUUUUCCAAAUCUCUGGUCCAGUGGUUUCAUUGAAUCUACAAAUGACAACAAACCCUAAAUAUAAUCCCUUUUGACUACAAAACAAGCAUUACAAAUAUUGACGAAAUAAUACCUUAGGAUUGGUCGGAUUUACAAAUUGAUCAAGCAUGUAACCAUUAGGUGUAUUUUUCAGUAUUUCCUCAGGCUUCCUAAGAACCUCGUUGAAGCCCUUGUUUGGAUCUGUGAGGUAUAACUCAGCUCCAAGAGCUCUCAUCACAACCCUUCUCUCAAGACUCUUUGAAGCUGGCAUGAUAGCAAUAACUUUAUACCCGUUUCCUGCAGCAAUGGAUGCAAAUGAAAUUCCAGUGUUACCACUGGUAACCUCAGUAAGGACAGUCUUCAGACAAGUUUAGACCAGCAGAACCAGAAAAAAAUAGCAAUUUCAAUUUUCAUUAGAAAAGGCACAAAGUAGAAGCUAUAAAUUAGCUAUUACCUUGCCAUGACCAAAAUGCUUUGGAUUAUUCACUUUCUUAUAAUCUUGUUCAUCGGAUGAAGAAUGAUUGAUAAACAGUACAAGGAACUAAUUUGGAACUUGUGUUACCAACCUUCCCUGGUGUGAUCAAGCCCUUCUCUUCUGCAUCUUUAAUCAUACUAUUGGCUAUCCUAUAUGUCAUAAAUGAAAAUUAGCAAAUUCACAAAAAGAACAAGAAACAACAUACAAAUUUUGAAGUUAUAUACCUAUCUUUAAUACUGAAGGAAGGUUCGAUACUUUCAAGUUUGGCAGCAAUUCGAGUUCCACAACCUUCCAAGAUAUUGUUGACAUAUACCAUAGGUGUAUUGUCUAUUAACUGCAGAAGGCCAACAGAGAGGAAGAUACUCACUAUAAGCAAGAAGCAGGAUUGUCGUUAGUCAAGACCAUAGUUAUUAAUAAAAAAAUUAGAGGCAAUUAUGAAGAGGAUUAAAAAAAAAAAAUUCAGUAAUAUCUUUCUUGAUUGCACACUUGUCCUCCAUUCUUUUCUAGAGAUUCUGCAGAAAAAUAAAUUUGUGAAAAAAAAGUACAAAUUUUUUAAAAGAAUAUGUCUCUAUUCAUGGAUAAGAUACUACUAAAUUUAGCUAAAUGAGAUAAAUCUGAGACAAAUGGUGUAAAGAUAUUUAAAGGUAAUAGAAAUUCUUGAAAAACAGAAGAAUUCAAUCAGCCUACAAGAAGAGCACAAAGUUCACAACAAAAACCAGAGAAGGACCAAAUAAUUUAACAAUCCACUAACACCCACAAUAAAUAACAAUCAGUUAAACCUUCAUGAACCAUAAUUUUAAAAAUUUAUCAACAAGGUAGAAAAUAUUUUGAACUUAACAAAUAUCAUCAUCCCGAUAGUAAGUUUUUCUUUAUCCAUAAAAUUCUGAAGUAUCCAACAUGGAUUAUUAAACUAUAAAAUGCAGAAUCUUGAAAAGAAACACCGACAUCCACCUCAAAAAAGAGUAAGGAUCGAGAAAUGUUGUUUUCCCAGCAGUGUAAACAGUGAUUAAACAAAAUCAAAACAAGAACAGACUCUGCAACAAUCCUUACCAGAGAGGUCUUCGCAGUUUCGUGAUGUAAUAUUACAAAUUAUCGACAAUAUCAUUUCUUUGGUCUACACUCUACGGUAGUGAGUUGACCUCUGAUCUGCCUCUGCUUUUGAGACGGUGACAAGUGGCAGAAUAUUAUACUCUUCAAACAGUAUAUACCAAAUUUCCUAAGAUUUUUUUGUAGCGACGCUAACUCACUUUAGCAGAUUACAAAAAAUAACAAUUCCGGUUCUUAAUAUUUUGUAAUUCUUCUAAUAAUAAUUUGCAAGAAUAAUAGUUUUGUACUAUGGUAGUUGUCCAAUUACAAAAUAAUAGUUUCGAUUCUCGACAUUGCAUAAUUCAAAUAUUUUAUAAAAAGUUACUUUUUUUUUUUUGUACUAUGGUAGUUUAUGAAAUAAUAGCUCUGAUUAAAAAUAUUAUGAUAUAUUUUCUAAAAUGCGAAGCUGUUAAUAUUUCUUAAAAUUAAUUAAUAGAUGACGUUGUUAAGAAAGAUUAUGUAGAAAUAAAAAUAAAUUUACAUUGUUUCAAUUCAUACAAUACUAAUUUUUCCACUUGAAAUUACUAAUAAUAAGUUCAAAGUAGCGUUUUUAUGAAAUUACAGUGUUAUUAAAUGGAAAAUUUCACCUACAAAAACAUAUUUGGGGUUAUACCAUUGUAGCAGUUUAUUAGGAUAAGUUAUGAAUUAUAAUAGAUGAAGCUAAAUCAGCAGCAGCUGCGAAAUAGACCAAGGAGCUUGGUUCGCUAAUAAGUGAAAGAAGUCUUUUUGUCCCACAUCGAAUAGAGGGCAAAGAUAUAACGGACACGAGACUAUAAAAGAGAAGCAUAUGAAACUGCAAAACAUACUUACCUGGACGGGGUCAAUGGGUGAUCAACAAGGCCCAUGGCCUAGGUCAGUGACCUCCAUUGCACUUUGGAGGGGUGCUGGCCUAAGGUCUCCCCAAGUUGGGAGAGCCUACGUCAUAAUUUGUGGCAGUGGGGGCCUGCGUUCGCGCGGCCCCUACCCAAUAUAGUUUAAAUUGCGUUAUUUUGUACUUUUCAUCGUUAUGUACAAUCAUUUUUAUUUAAAUAUAUUAAAAUAAAAACAUCAAUCAGUACCUUAAAAUAUCAAUUGGUAGGAUGAAAUUAUUCGGGAUUAUAAUUAUUUUAUUUCUUGUGUGGAUAUUUA